rnacentral:lncRNA from 1 species
GCUUACCUCCACAAGGUCUUCAUUUUUCUGCUGCACAGUCCUCUGGGAAGCCACAUCUUGUACCUGCUGGGUUCCCUUAUGUUCAUGCUGUUCAGGUGAAGCCAGCAGAGCAGAAACAACCUGCUGCAGAGUAGAAUCGUGUCUCAUGUAUUUAACUUGGCAAUCCCCAACACAGGAAGCUAUGAGAGCAAGUGAAGCUGAACAAUUGGUGGAUGGGGAUUGUGCACCACCCUGUGGUAAUGAAAAGAAAUGAGAGAAGUGAUGAAUGUUCAAGGAAGCAUGCCUUCGGAUUAGAUCCACAUUUUUGAGACAGUGGAAGGGGACACGCAUCUCGCAAAUUUGUGCCUUGCUUGAAUGUCCAGAGAUCUCCGUAUGUUUGUGUUAAUAGGCUGAAGUGGUUUAAGUCUUCAGCUUUCUAAUGAAAAUUCAAUUUAUUUGGUGGCAAAGGUUCUGGACAGUGAAACCAAGGGAAAGGUUUGCCAGCAAGUGUUUUUGUAUGGUUCAAGAGGUAAUAUUCAGAUGAUUGUGAAGAUUGAGAAGAAGGGUAAGAGAAAAAGGAUCUAUUACCUUUCUCCUUUUUGGGAUAGCAAUGGAGGAUUUUUCACUCUUAUUAGAUUUUUCUCUUUUUCUGGGGCUCUGGGUCUAAUUUUAUUUUCCAGAAAGAACAGUAGACUAUAUCUUUGAACAUAUAUAUAUAUAUAUAUAUAUAUAUGCAAUGGAGGGGUGUGUAUGUAUAUGUCUGGCACAUAUAAAGAGUAAACCCUCUCAGUUUUUUUUUUUUUAAUUGAAAGAAUAUCUUUCUUUAUUGGUUCUUUUGAUGCCAUCACCAUGUAUUUCUUUCCUCGUUCUGCCCAGUUCCAGUUUUAGUGGUGGGAAAGACUAAAGAGAUGCAGAAAUUAAUAGCAAAAAGGGUUGGUUCCAACUUUGAGUCGUGGAAUGGAGAAUAGACUUUGAAGGGGCAGUAGUACUCCACUCAAUUUUGCUAGGAAUUUUUUUAAAUAAAAAUUAUAAUUAUUAUUUUUUUGUCCAUGCGGGCCAAUGCAAACUUCCCCACUUUGUUCUUUAGUGUGUAAAUAUAUAUACAUGGAGAUAGAUACUGUCUCUCCUUUGACAAAAGUGGGUUGUUGAAAAGUGUCUUUAUUUUCAUAUUUAUACCUUCAAUUUUUAAUUUUAAAUUAAAAAAUUUAUUUUUUAAUUUUAUUAUAAUUAUAAUAAUUUUUUAAAUUAAUUUUAACCAUAUUUAUAUUUAAAUUGAGUUAUAUAGGACAUUCUAUAUAAUUAUUUUUAUUGUAUAAAUAAUUUAAUCAAUUUGAAUUAAAUUUUAAUUAAAAUUUUAAACUUUUAAUUAUCUAAAUUUCUUAGUUAAAAUUUUUAUUGAAGUAUGAAAAAAUUGAUAUUUUUUACUUAAGAUUUUUAUUUAAGUAUAAAAAAAUUGAGUAUAUCAAUUAUAUGAUUAAGAAAUUUUAUAUAAUUAAGAAUUUAAAAUUUUAAUUAAAAUUUAAUUUCAGCUAAUUAAAUUAUUUAUAUGAUAAAAUAAUGAGCUGUAUAAAAUUAUAAUAAAUUUAAAAAUUAAGAUUUUUUUUUAUUCAAAAAAAAAAAAGAUUUUUUUAAUUUAAAAUUAAAAAUUUAAAUUAUAAAUAUAAAACUUUGUAAAAUUGGUGUUUUUUUUCUUAAAAUGUGAUCGCUUUAUUUUUUACUAUUUUAUUUUUUAUUAUAUAUCCAUGCUCUCUCUUUUUUUUUAGAGAGAAACUCUCUCAUUUCUCUUUAUUUUUCUAUGUUUGAGGAAUUGUUGGUGUGUUUUGCGCUCUCUAAAUAAAGACAACUUUUUCUUUUUUUAUAUAGGGAAAUUUACUUUUUAGUCCCUGAGGUUUAACGUAAUUAACACUUCUGUCCCUCUAUUUUGGCGACCCAACACUUUUGGUCAAAGAGUCAAAAGAAGAAGAAGAAGAAGAAGAAGAAGAAGAAGAAGUUGCAGAAAAAGGAGGAAGAAGAAGAAGUUGCAGAAAAAGGAGGAAGAAGAAGAAGUUGCAGAAAAAGGAGGAAGAAGAAGAAGUUGCAGAAAAAGGAGGAAGAAGAAGAAGUUGCAGAAAAAGGAGGAAGAAGAAGAAGUUGCAGAAAAAGGAGGAAGAAGAAGGUUAAUUUUGUCAAUUCACGUGUCCCAAACGGCUAUUUUGGACGGAAGGUAAGUGUUGGGUCGCCAAAAUAGAGGGACAGAAGUGUUAAUUACGUUAAACCUCAGGGACUACAAAGUAAUUUUCCCUUUUAUAUAUAUAAAAAAGUAGAUUUGGUAUUUUUCUACCUUUUUCUGGAAUUUUUGUAAACAAAUAAUUAUUGUUUUUAUUAGUUCUUAACGUAUCAAUGCUUAGAGUGAGGAUGCUUUUAUGAAUCUGCCUUCAGUUUUCUCUUAUUCUCUGUUUGUCUUUUCUUUUUCAUGCACUGUCUUCUAUAGUUGAAUUUGGAGUUUUCCUUAAUCAAUCGGAUGCAUUGAAAAAUGGAUUGUGUUGACUUAGAUAACUUUCUUCCCUUCCAACACCCUCUAUGCGUAUUGAGUUUCUUCCUUUCUCACUCAUUAGCUACCGGUGUAUCUUAGGGCUCGUUAGCCUUUUCUCUCUCUUGCUAAACAACUGAACCUCGAAGUCAAAGGGUGUCAAUGAGCUCUCUCCUCAUCUCCUUUCCUAAGCUUAGCUAAAGAUUCUCGACCAUGUGCUUAUUGUUUUAGCUGUUUUCUGAACUUCGUAAUCUCUAUGGAGCUCAAGAAUGUGUGUCGAUGACUUGGUAUUUUUCCAUCCGAUAUGAUCUCAAGAGAUAACAAUAGUAAAUUCUUUUAGAGAUUCUCAUGUUUGCCAGCUAAAGCUUCAUUGUAUCAUAGACUGACCUUAGUUUUCUUGGUCUUGGGUUUUAUCUUAGGUUUUUGAAGCAUAUAGUUUGUUGGGGUUGGAUCUUUUUUUAGCCCAAGUGCUUAAUGUAUUUAAUGAAUUAUUGGCUAUUUUAAUAUAUGAUUAUCUUUUGAUAAAAAAAUCUUUAUUACAAAAUAAAUCCCUCUUAUUAUAAGAUCUGCUCUUGGCAUUUGUUUUUUCUUAUUUUGGUGGUAGAUCUAGUGAAAUUUGGAUGGUGUUCUUACAGAAUUAUUGCUUUUUUGCUAGAGUUCCUUAGGUUGUAUUCUUUAAGGGUUGCGUAUAGGUUUAGCAGUUCACUAUUUAUUUCAAUAGAUUAAGAUUUGGAGGUAGUUGCUUACAAAAACUAGUUUCAUAACGUGUUAGAGAUGUUGUAGAGUAUGCUUUCUCUGUUGUCACUAUUAUUGGUUGAAUUGCCAACAUUCUUCCUUGACUGAGGUUGAGUUUUGUUUUUCAGUGUUAUUCUUAUUACUUAGUUUCUUAAUUGCUUAAUUUUAGGGCUCAAGGUUUGUCUGUUUUCAUCUCUUUUGACGGUUUUUAUUUUGCCGAUGUUGCUUUAAUAUGUUUUAUAUUUUUGAGUUUGAUAGUUUGAAUUGUUUUACCGUUUAUAAUUUUCACUGUUUGUUGUCGAUGGUAAAAAAGAUACUUUAGUCCAAAAAAAUUAUUUUAGUCCAAAAAUAAUGUUUUAGUCCAAAGAUGCUAUCGGAUCAUUUCUCAAGUUAAGAUUUUGCCUUUAAAUUCAAACUUUUCUUUUAUAUAUAUAUAUAUAUAUAUAUAUAUAUUUGGUGGUCCGGAGGCUUUGUAAUUUUUGGAUGUAUUAUUUUGGACUUUGUUCUUCUCUUUAUAAUGAAUUCAUGUAUUUUCAAAAUAAAUAAAAAAAUCAAUAGACAAAGGAAUAUGGUAUCCUAACCUCGUGACACACUCGCCUACACAAGUUUUAUUUAUGUGCCUCCACUCUUCCAUUGCUUACCUUUUUCUGAAAAAAUUAAUAAAAUAAAAUAAAAUAAAAAUAGCUCAACUUUCCUUUAAGGAUUCGGUUGUCUGAAAAGUGGAGGCAAAAGAAAAUAGUUGAAAGAAAAUGUAGAAUAAUUUUUUACUUUCUUCAUUUGCAACCAAAGGAGAGAAUAAAAGAUGGAUGAAAAAUGCUCCUUAUCUUUUACUAAAUAUUUUAUGUUUAUUUUGGGAAAGGAAUGGAAAGAAAAAUAAAAAGAAUAACAAAAUAUAAGUGCAUGUUAAUAAAUUUAUGAAAAUAUAAUUAUUCAUUGCAAUUUAUAUUUUUCAAAAUAAAAAAAAAUAAAUACAUUUUUAUUUGUACUUUUUUACUUUUCAUCCAUCUAAACGUAGAAACAAAAAACUAUUUUAUCUUUUCAAUUUUCUAUUUUUUUUUCUUACUAUAUGUAUUUCUAUAUAAUUCUCGCCCAAAAUUAGUUGUGCAAAUUUAAUUAUUACCAUAAUUUAACAUACAAUAAAUAUUUUAAAUUAUUGAAAUAUUAUAUGUAUUACUGUAACCAGAAAAGUGGUUAAACGUUUGAGAAUUUCGUUUUCUUUUAUUUAAAAUAAAUAAAUAAAUAAAAGGAAAACGUUUGUAACAACUACAGCAUAACUACCCAGUUAGUUAGUCUCCACCAAACGCACAUCCAACUCGGCCUAACAAAGUAACAAACACUUGAACUGCAGCCUCUUCACCUUACCAUUCCUCUCCUUUCUUUUCCUCUCCCUCUUCCCCUUUUAUUCCUUUCUUGCAAGACUCUCCAAACACCCAUUCAAGCACCCUCCAAACAAAACACUACUGACAUUCUCAAUAAUUAAUAUUCUCUGUGCCAUUUCAUUCCAAUUCUCCGCUAUGCCUUUUCUUUCCUUCCUCUUCUUUAUAAUCCUUUCUCUUCUGUCUCUUUCUUUUUCUCAAUUCCCUCCUCCCAGAGGUAAUAGUUGACGCUCCUUUUUCAUUUCUGUUCGUGAAGAUACUUUCUUUUUCUUUUUCUUAUUUUUCUGUAAAAUUUUCCAGGUACUCUAAUUAAUUGCGGCACCACAGCCCCUUCAGUAAUCGCCGGCCGCCAAUGGCUUCCGGACGCCGGUUUUAUCUCUGUAGGGACUCCCAAGAACCUCACUAUUCCUGUACUUUCUCCUAUCCUCUCUACCGUCCGAUCAUUCUCUAUGAAGAACAAUGCUCACCGCAAGUUCUGCUACGUGGUUCCGGUUUACCGUGGCGCCAAGUACAUGAUCAGGACAACGUACUUCUAUGGAGGGAUCAACGGCAAUGCUGCGCCUCCAGUGUUCGAUCAGAUUGUGGAUGGAACUUUAUGGAGUGGGGUGAAUACAACGGAGGAUUAUUCCAACGGCAUGUCGUCAUAUUAUGAAGGGAUUUUUCUGGCUCAAGGGAAGACCAUGAGUUUGUGUAUUGGGGUAAAUUCGUACACUGACUCAGACCCGUUUAUUUCCGCAUUGGAGUUCGUGGUUUUGGGGGGUUCGUUGUAUAAUUCCACGGAUUUUAAGCGAUAUGGCCUUAGCUUGGUUGCCAGGCACAGUUUUGGAUAUAAUGGAUCCAUAAUUCGGUGAGUUAAAAUAAUAGUUAAUAGAAAAUUGGAUAUUGAAGAAACGGUUUCAAUUCGUAUGCUCAGGCUUGAUAGUUUUGGCUGUUUCCAGAUACCCUGAUGAUCGCUUUGAUCGGUUUUGGGAGCCAUACGGGGACAAAGAUCUCACCGUAUCGGAAAACAUAAAUGUAUCCGUUUCCGGUAUAUGGAAUCUUCCUCCGUCGAAAGUAUUUGAAACGAAGUUGACGAGUCAAUCUGGGCCCCUGGCGUUGAGGUGGCCUCUGGCUCCCCUUCAGAAUUCCUUGUACUACAUUGCUUUAUACUUUGCAGAUGAUCGUAAAUUAUCAGUUGGGUCUGCCAGAGGGUUCAAUGUCAGCAUAAAUGGGGUAACAUAUUACAAAAAUUUGAGCGUGGCACAAGCAGGCACUGCUGUCUUUGCAACGCAGUGGCCUCUUGGCGGCCUAACAUCUGUAACUUUGACUCCUUCAGCUGCUUCUAGCUUUGCUCCAUUGAUCAAUGCUGGAGAGAUUUUGGGGGUUAUGGUGAUUGGAGGAAGAACUCUUACAAGAGAUGGUAUGGUUCCACUUAAUGUUUUAAGAUAGGUGGAGUGGAAGUUGGAAGUUCAUUUAGUAUGUCUCCUAUAAUAAAUUGUUGUAGGAUGUUCUUCCAAGUUUCACCGUAUUUCUUUGUCUGUCAUUCUCAAGGAUUGCAGUGGUUAAAUUAUAUUUCUUGUUCCAGUAAUCGCUUUGGAAAAACUGAAAAGCAGUCUCGAAAACCCUCCAUUUGACUGGAGUGGUGAUCCCUGUAUGCCUCGUCAGUAUUCAUGGACUGGAAUUACAUGCUCUGAGGGUCCCCGUAUUCGUGUGGUUACAUUGUUAGUCAAACUUAGUCAUCACUCAUGACACAGAUUUUUUUUUUUAAGUAACAGUUGUUAUUGCUUCACAAACAAUUCACUUUAACUUUCCAUCUCGUUUCCAGGAAUCUGACGAGCAUGGGCAUUUCAGGAUCAGUGUCACCAAGUAUUGCCAGAUUGACUGCAUUGACGGACAUGUAGGUUGUCUAAAUUAAAUUCAUGUAUGGAUGGAAAUUGAACCGGAAUUAAUGUAUGAUGUUAUGUUUUUUCGGACAGCUGGCUCGGAAAUAACAGUUUCUCAGGUUCAAUACCUGAUCUCAGUUCAUUAACUAUGCUGCAAACAUUGUAAGAUCCCCCCUCCCCCUUUUUUCUUCUUGUUAUUAUUAUAGUUGUUGUUGUUAUUUUGUGCUCAAACGAGAAUCCAGAUGGAAUAUAAGCACAUCACGCAGACACGCACCAUUUCAAUGGCAUUAUGGUUUCCAGAUUGAACCUAUUUCCCUUGUAGUUUUAGUGUGAUAGAAUACUCGAAACACCCUUUAGGGGGUUUAAUUAUAAUGUACCAUGCUGUAUGCGGUAAGUACAACGUGAUUGGUUUUAGUUUUAGAGUGAUAGGAUACUUUAGGUGUUUAAUUAUAUUGUAUCAUUCUGUGUGUUGUAAGUACCAUCUAACUUGUUUAUUUUUUUUUUUUAACGUCGGGGGGCAAAUAUUUUGAAUGCUGAUUGUGUGUAGUUUCUUUUGGACUUCUUAUCUGACUUUACUUCCUUCUUGAAGGCACUUGGAAAACAAUCGAUUCACUGGAAAGAUCCCCUUCUCAAUUGGAAGUAUUAAGAAUCUACAUGAACUGUAAGUCUUACAUGCACAUUGAGAGAAUAUGCAGACUUUGGGUCUCUAUUUGUCAUUGUAUAUAUUCUUUACUUGUCUCUGCUACUGGUUGCAUAGGUGUAGUAGUCAAUAUCGUCGUCUUUCGAGUCAUGUGCCAUGCAAUAAGCUUUUAAUUGUUUCCUGAUUGUAACUGUUUAUGCUAAUUAUACUGAAUCAAAGUCCUUUAGAAAUCCUAUACUAAUAAAUGAUAGCUCUAAAUUCAGGUUAUCUUAAGAGUAAGAAUGCUGGCUAAACCAUGUAAGUUAAGGAGGAAUGCCUUUUCUGUUGCCAAGAGGUUAAUCUCUUGGAGUAGGAAGUUUGUCAAAUUCAAGUUGUUAUAUGUCUAGUUUUAUCUGACAUAAGUUGGAUGCAAAACUUAUAGCCUUGUUACUAUAAAAUCCUCACCUUUUUACCAUUUGCAUUUUAAUUUACUAGUUUUAAUUUCAGCACAAUAAACUAAAUUUUUAAAAUUUUAAGAAAAUUUAUCUAAUUUUAAAAUUGAAUUUGGGGGAGUGUCUCUUGCUGAUCUGGCAUGCUUAGGUGGCAUUUAUUAUUAAAGGGUGUAACUUACAUGUUACAUCAUUUAAAAUAUAAAAAAUUUAUCUCUCUCUCUCUCUCUCUCUCUCUCACCAUUCCUCCUCCUCAUCUCUCUCUUCUCUCCCCCCCUCCCCCCCUCUUUCACACACAAAAGGUUAUGGUUUUUUUUAGUACAAAAGGGAGAUAAAGACCACAAACAAAUUGAACCAUUAUGUGUGUGAUCUUUUUUGAAAUGUGACCGUAAUAAUUAAGUUUGUUGUUGGUUUUUCCCCCCUCUAUACCAAAAAAGAUUGAUAGCUUUAUGUAGCUUUGUGCGUAUGUGUGUGUGAGAGAGAGAGAGAGGGAGAGGGGAGGGAGGGAGGUAAAAGCUUUUUUUUUUUCUUUUGUAAGUGAUAUGGCGUAUGUGGGUUCCACUAUUUAAUAAUAAACAAACUCCACCUAGGCAAGGCAUGCUACAUUCUUAGAAUAUACUUCCUCUAAAUUAAUUCAAAAUUGGAUAAUAUUCCUUCGGAUUUUAAAAAAUUGGCCUGUUGUGCCAAAGUUAAUACUAUUAGAUUAAAAUGCAAGAAGUUGAAAAGAUGAGAAUUUUUUUUUGGUAAUUUGGCCGAAAAUAUAUGGAUUACACCUUUUGUCUCUGCCAUAUCUUAUGAUUCCUUUUAUGGUUAAGUCAAUUCAGUCAUGAAAAGGCGUUGCAUUUGUUUUCUAACAUGAUUUAGGACCUCUUUCAUAAGCUUUGUCAACUUUGCAGCAUCCUCAAAUCUAGGUGAAAAUGAAAUAAUGAAUUAUAUGAUCAAAACUUGAUCAUUGGCUCUGACCAAUGGAACUAUUCACAGUUAGCUAGUGCAAACUUACAUACCAUAACAUGCACUGUGGUUCUAAAACCAACUUUAAAAUGUUUCUAUGAUUGAUAAAGCAUUGGAAAUGAUGUUGAAACCUGAAAGCUUUCACUAUUUUUGAGAAGGUGUUCAUUGUGUCAAAAUCAAGCUGACCAGUUAUGGGAAAUAUAUAUACUGUACUUCUAAUAAAUUUCAUGCCCAGUUGUAGACCUAAUUUCAGUUCAGGCCUAAAAUUGAGUACUGGAAAAACAUUAGAGUUAUUAAGUGGAGAUAAGAUGGACCCUUAGAUGUUAAGAGAGAAUAACAAGCAAUACCCUGAAAGCAUACAAAGAAGCAAUACUGGUAGCAAGUUAACAAAUUAUUGAUCUUCAACUAAAUCUUAGCCUGAUCUUAGACUUUUGAAUUUGAGCAAGUCAACUCUUUGAAGAAAUAUUGUCUUGGGUUCAGUUAUUGCAUUUUUGUUUUCUCCAUGACUACGAUAACCUACAUGGAAACCAUAUCAUUGUUUUUUUUUUAAAAAAAAAAGAAAUUAUCAGCUAAAGAUGAAUUUCUUGCACCAUAUUUAUUUUGGAGUAGGGGGUAAAGGAUUUGUGACAUAUAAGUGCCACGUAGGUUGCUAUUUCAGGGAAUAAUUGAGAUGCAUGGCAGCAUGCUUUCUUUGAGUUGGUAUAAUACCAAUUGCUGGCUUGAGACAUACCCGUGCCAGUGCAAAUUGAAACCAUUUUUUUUCUUGCAAAAUCUUUGGAUCAAAAUGCCCAUAUUGCAUGGAAUUUUGACUGAUGUUUGAGUAGUUCAAUUAUGCAUGAUUUAGUUCCCAUUUGAUGGCUACCCAAUUUCCAUGAUUGGACCCAUGCCCCAGAUCUAUUGCAUAUGGUUUCUUGCCUAUAUGAGAAAGAAUGAUCUCAGCUAAAAUUAUGCUUUGCUCGUAAAGCCAUCAUAGUUUUGUAGCGAAAACUGCAGGCUUUCCAUGUGGUCUGCAUUUGUUGUUGGUGUGAAUUGGAAGGAUACUACUAUUGAAGCAUUUCAUUGUCCUUUCCAUUUUUAUCUGGUUGACUGGUUUGGUCAAGUAUGGAAAUUAAGUAUGCGUUGCUCUUUGCUCUUUUAUAAGCUUUCAGUCAUUUAGCUGCUGUACUUCAAUUAUUCUGCUGACUUGUUUUCUCUUUCUUCUGAAGAUGCCUUUUUUUUUGGAAUGCUGUGAUAAAAAUACAUUGAAUAACAGCAAAGUCACACAUUUAUUUUUGUGUGAUUUCCUUACGUAAUUUUUUUAUAGGAUGUGUAAUAUGUUCAGCUUUCAUUCAUUGUACCUGACUUGGUUCUUUCAUUUGUACAGAUUUUUACAAAACAAUUAUCUGACUGGUGAAAUUCCAAACAACCUUACUGGAAAACCUGGGCUGGAUCUUAGGUAAAAUUUUGUUCUUGCUACGUGAUUUGUCAGUUGGUAUUAAUCUAUAAGCAGUAUAACUUGCCAAUUUUAUUUGAAUAAUUAAAUUGUUCUCAAUGUUAGGACCUCUCCUGGAAAUCAGUUAUCAUCACCAGCACCUUCUUGAGCAAACAAAAUCAAUGCAUCCAAAGCAAAGUUGACCAGGAUGCAUUUAUCAUCAAACUGGAUUUCAAUCAUAACGUGUUAAUAUAUUUUGUCUAUAAAUCUGAGAGUUUUGAAAAUUUUAAGCUGUAAGUUUUGCGGCAACAACUAUCUCUGGUUUGAGGUUCACCUUAUAGAAGCUCCUCGUUCAAGUUGGGGAUGCACAACUGUGUACUUGGAAGUGGUGUACAUAUCAAUUCAAUCUGAUUCUUUUUAUCUUUUAACACAGCAUAGCUGAAUGAUGCUAUCAACCUUUCUGUAAAUACAAGUCCAUAUAUCAUUUGCUGUGGUUUUAAUUUCGUGUAAUUUAGUUGCAGUUGCUAUAUAACGAUGACCCCAUACAUUCUAUUUGUUGCUAGGCCACGAGGAAUCUUUUUCUUGUUCUUUUUCUUUUUCCUCUCUUGAUGCCAUCAUCUUCAUCAUCGUCAAUUUUUAUUUAUUUUUUGUUAUUGUUUAUAGCUACUAUGGAUUUUGAUAUCAGUGGGUGAAAUCUUUCAUCAAGUUCCUUCCUAUAUGCCAGUGUUCAAUUUAAUGGGUUGUGAAGUUUCCUUUGUUUACAAAGUAAGCAAACAAUAACAGCUCAUAGAUAUUCAAUAAUGGGUAGGCAGAAUUACGCCACAUGAUCCUCCAUUUAGUUUCAAUUCAAGACCAUUGAUCAGAUUCCUCUGGCCGAUCCUCACAUGUGGGCAUGUGCCCUGAUCACUCACCUGCUAGUUCUGAUCCACAAGUCAUUCUACUCACAGAUAGUUCUGAAUACCCAAAGAAGAAGCUAAAAUUAAUUUUUAAUUUCAUUUAAGGCCCUUGUGCUGGCCUCUGCUUAGUAUAUUUUUGGAAAGAAGGAAACUGGUUGUCUUAUCCCCCAAAAGAGGGGAAAAAAGGGAGAGCAACAGCUAAAAUCAACAUAUUUGGUCAAUUACUUAUGCAAUUUCAUCACAUUUACAUUAUAAUUUACCAGAUCCAUCGUAAUUAACAAUGAGCUAAACAUAGAAACAGAUAGGCAAAGUCUGAAAUUGAAAUGAAAUGAAAGAACUGAUAAGAGAAAUCAACAUAUUAGACACAAUCCUAUAGAACAGAGACAAGUUUGGGCUACCCACAUUCUCCACAUCACCUUUCUAAUCUCCCCUUCUUAAGGGGAAACAAAGGUGGCAAGGAACUGCUCUUCACGUGUGUGCAAAUAGGCACAUUUACCAUUGGCCUUAUCCUAAUAGUGGUUGAUCUUGUUCUCUCCAAUCCUUUCUUCACCCUUUUCCCUUGCUUUCCAGAGCCAGCCUUCCCUUCUUCUGUGGUAACGAUAUCGGCUAGGGAGCUGGAAGAAGAUGAUGUUGAGGAGGAAGAUGAUGAUGGUGAUAGAUAAGGACGUUGCUUCUUUAACCUCAGCAGUUCUUUCCAGAGAACAGUACAUUUUGGAGGCCUUGGAGAUGGGUCAUCAUCAAGAUACCAAUUUAUCCUAGGCUCCUCCUUGUUCACCUCCUCCUCUUCUUCUUCUUCUUCUUCUUCUUCCUCCUCCUCAUUCUCUUUACCCUUGAGACUGAUUUUAUGGAGUUUAUCAGACUGCUGCAUUUGCCAGAAGGGAAGUAACUUCCCUUCAAAAAAAAGCUCGUCUGCAGUUAACAUGGUAUGGCUACUCAUGUUGCUUGAGAGAAACUCAAAUUCUGCAUUUCUUGCCUUUUCUCUUUCCAUUUUUUGGUCUUGUGGGUUUGGAGUAAUGGAAAUGAAGUUGUUUUCAUCAAGAAAUUCUGCAGAGAAAGAAAUUCGAGGACUAGAAGUUUGAUCCAUGGAUGCUUGAACCGUUUCUAGGGAGACCAUUUUUUUUUUUUUCCUUUCCUUUUUCUUAGAAGAAGAAGAAGAAGAAUUUAAGAGAGUUUAAUUGUGAAGUUGGCGUGGUAGUAAGAGGUGCAUGGGAUUUGUGAUAUAUAAGGGGAAGAGGAUGCUUAUUAGGAGUAAUUGUUACUGUUAGUAAUAAUUUUUAGAGGGUGAGAUUAUAAAAAAUGAUUGUGGUCUGUUGAACUCCCAGCAACUGAGCUUAGGAUUAUGGGGACAUCACAAUCACAUCCACUCCUUCCAAACUAAACACUAGAGCUUCAUUCAUUUACUUUUUCACCUUUUUUUUUUAAACAAUACUACAUUUUCAAAUAUAUAUUAAAUUUUAUGAUCUAUAUUAAUAUUUAUAAUAAGUUUUUUAACCUGCGAUAGGUUUUGCUUAAACCUAAUAUCAAUGGAUAAUAAUGAAGUCGGAUCAGUCAAAGAUAAGAUUGACUCCAGGAAGGAUUUUUUUUUUUUUUCAUAACUUCAAGCGCAUGUGGAUGUGGUCACAUGCGAGUAAUUUUUUGCCAUGUGACAGCAGAAUCAAGGAUGUAUAAGAUACAAGUGAAUGACCAAGUUAACCUUCUAAAAGUUUGGCCUCAGGAGGUAGGACAUGCAAUUUUCCAUUCAAUUCAAGGGCAUUAUUGACCUAUGGAGAAAUAUGGGUCAAUGGCCAAUGCUUAAAAAGCUUCCUGGUCUAAUUAAAUACAGACAACUAGUUAUAAACAUAAGAGUAAUCUUUUUUGUUAUUAUAUUAAUUUUGAUUUUUGAUUAAUUUCAAUAUUGUAUUAUUUGAAGCAAUAAUCUAUCUGUAGCCUUGCCUUGGUUGUAUUAUUGAGGGAGACAACAAUGUUUAAGCUUUAACAGACCCAAUAAACAACAGACCAAACAUGUGAUAAACAAGCUAAUUUUACAUUAUUUACUGCUUUUUAGCUUCUGGAAGUAGAUGUCUUAAUGAGCUUUUAUGAUCUUAAUUCUGGAUUUUUUUACUGAAUCAAUCAACUGUAAUGUCACAAUCAAAUCUUUCUAAAAGAAGUUGAACUUACUAUUUCUGUCACUCAAUCACUAAAUUCAUCACAUAAAUAUAAUUAAUCAAAAUAUAUUAUAUAUUUUGCUUUCGUUUCAUAACUUUUAUUCAUUUUUAUAAUAUUUUAAAAUUAUUAUUCAUUAUCUUUUUUAUAUAUAAUAACAUAUAAAUUAACUAUUAUAAUUUUAUUUAAUUUUAUUUUUAAAAAGUUUCUCAAAAGUUAUUGAAUAUUUAAUAAAAUUUAAUAUUUUUAAAAUAGAUAAAAAUUAUGAAAUAGAAAAGUAUAUUAAUUUAAGUUUUUUUAAGCUAUUAUAUAUUAAUUUGAAUUUUUUGAGAUUAAAUGAAGAGAAAACGAAUUCCCUUCUCUUUAAAAAAUAAAAUACUGCAUAAUUUAUUUAUAUUUAGUAAAAUAUAAUAAUAAUAAUAAUAAUAAUAAUAAGAAACGCUCUCAAUCUCAUAACCAUAAGUUUUUUUUUUUAAAUGUUAAAUUAUAAAUCACUUUUAUUUUUUAAAACAAUAGAUUAUAAGUUAAGAAUAAUAUUAUAAGAUGAGAGAAAAAAAAUAGAGAAAAGAAUAGAAAAGGAGAGCAAGGGCUAGGAUCGUUAGAAGGGAAGGCCGUUGGUUUUCGAUUGUUUUUGGGCUUUUUCUCUAUUUUUCUUAUUUUUGUUUUCUCUUUACAUCUCUUCUAAUUUGUUAAAAAAUUUUUUUUCUGCCUUCAAAUAGGGAUCACUUUCAUUUUCUCUAAUCUAUCCACUUUAGAAAUAGUCGACGGUUUUUCUUUUUUAAUUUGCUUUGAUUUUUCUUUUAUAAAUUUUAUUGUUCAUCACGAGAUUAUUUUUUAAAUCUGAAUAAAGCCAAUGAUUUUACUUUUACCAGUACAAAGUACUUCCUUUGUUGAUAGUCGCUGGAAUUUCUGAAACCGCAUUGAUGCAUCUGGUGAUUACGUUUUCUUUGGCCUUGAUAAUAGGUGUCUUCUUUCUUGUCUUGAGUCGUUACUCGUCUAGUCGAAUCCCUUUCGUCUUAAAUCUGAUUGCAUACAAAAUUAUUUUUUGUACUUUUUUAUCUUUUUUUCAUAUUGCCUCAUUUUUCAUUUAAAUUUAGUGUUGAUGAUAGUGAUUUCUUUUUUCUUUCGAUUUGGUCGAUAUGUCAAACAAUGAGACGGCGGUAGAUAUUAAAUUCUUGUGCUGAUUUGAUCUUAUUUGAAUUUGAGUCAUAGAUUUUAAAUUUAAGUUUUUGAGUAUGAAAUUUGUAUACCAAAUUUUAUUUUAUUUUAUUAAAAUUAUUUUACUUAUUCUUUUACAUUUUGUGGUUGAACUCUAAUCUUUUUGUAUUAGUAGACUUUGGUAAAUAGAAUGGUAUUGUAUUAUUAAAAAAAUAUACAAGUUGAAGAAUAAAUUUUUUGUUUAAAAAUAAUUGAAUAAUAUUUAAUUUGUAAUAGUGUAAUAUGUAUUAAGGAUACAUUAUAUCAGAAAAUUCUAGAUGUUUUGACAAAUUAAAAGUGAUUGACAAUUAAUAUAGUAAAUUAAAAUUUAAAUCUCUAUUCCCCCAGUCCCCUCUUUACAAAUAGGAAAAAGAAGUGACUCUGUAGGUCAUUAUAAAGAUUUUUUUUUCAAAAAAAAAAAAAACAACUCCAAAGGCAAAGCAAGCCAAGUGGGUCAUAUGUCUGUGAAAAAUAAUAAUAAUAAAAUUAAUUAAUUAAAAUGCAUGGUUUUUAGUCUGUUUUCAUGCAAAGCCUAGCUGUUAACAUCACCAAACACCUUGUUUUUAGAUGUUAUUUCAUAUAAAUCUUCCCUCUUUUUUUUCAUGUAAUUUAAUUAAUAUAUAGUUGUUGAAUUGUUUUGACUUUGACCAAACUUAGAAUAUGUGCCAACACUUAAUUAUUAUUACUUUUUAAUUUAUAAUCACUCAUCUUUUUAAUCAAUUUUUGUUUUCUUCAGCUGAUCUUAAAAGACUUUUCAUGCAUUCAAAUAAAUAGUUUUUAAUUUUUUUAGUAAAAUAAACCUUUUUAGUUUUUAAUCGGAUAAGGAAGUAAUCAAUAGGACCUGAAAGUGAUGCCAUCCAAGAUGUGUACCCUCAAGUCUCCUAUAUGGUUUAUCCUGAGACACGUGGAUAAGAGAAGUGAAGAGAGGAGAGGACCACGAAGAUUGGUGGGAGGGAGGAGAGAUCUAUGACAUGUGAGCUGUCUCUGCAAAAAUGUGAAACUUUGUAUUAAAUGACAAGUGGUUAAUCCAAAGUUUGAUGUUAACAUUAGAUUUGAACUCAGUUCCAAUGCCACAGCUUCUGUCUCUAUCACUGUGCUGCUUCAGGUGCAGCUGCAUGCCCCGCGCGAAAACUUAGGCUACUUGUUUCCAAUUUUCAUCACUACCUAUACUUCAAUUUCAAUUUCAAUUUCAAUUUCAAUUUUUACCUUUUUUUUAUAUUUAUAUUUUAAUUUUAAAAUUUUAGCCAAUAAAAUUUGAGAUUUUUUUAUUUAAUAAAUUUAUUUAAAAAAGAAAAAGCUAAUGAAAAGAAAAAAACUUAAAAUAAGUAGGAUGAAAAGGUAGCAACUAACUAAUCACAAUCGUCCAAGAUGUAGAUUGAAAAUUAUUGUCCAAUGAGUUUAAUUCAAUUUUGAAAAUUGAAAACGUUAAAAAGAGAUAAUUCAUCCCCGUUUCUUCAUGUCUGUAAAGAUCCAUCAGUAAUGUGAUUUUUUUAAAGAGAAGAUUUUUGACAACUUUAAAAAUGACAAAAUAGAAAAACAAACAGAUAUUUUUUAUUUAGAUAUGAUCUGAACAAUCAAUUGAAUGUUAGCCAAGAAAAGGUAAACAGAUAUUUAUCAAUGUUCCUCAUUUUUAACAUGUUCAUGUAUAAAUCAAUCGCACGAACCUAAUUAAUUUCACCGCCAAAAAUAUCAAGUAUAAUUUUUUUAUUAUUUUUAUGUACACCAAUCGAUAACCAUUUAUUAAUAAAAGGAAAAUACAUGCUACUGAUGGGUAGGGACCCAUGAGAGUUGGGGUGGGGCAUGCGUACCAUAUCAAGGCCAAAGGAAAUAUCGUGGUCUGAAAAUAGAUGUGGACGGAUGUCCUAGCCGUAUUAUCUAUAUCACCAAAAGGUACUUGUACCAUCGAAUUCAUUGUAAUUUGUAACCAUACACGUGGACCUAUAGGACAGAUAAGGAUAUGGAGGCCGUUUGAUUUCUUAUACCAAUUAAAUUUGUAUUAGUGUUUCCAUUUUAAAAAAUUUGAAAUCGAGCUGAAAUGUUUAUUUCUAUCUUGAUUUUAAUCGAAGCUGGUUUAAAUUUAUUUUAAUAAAAUUUUUAUGAUGGAUCAAAACAAUAUAUAUGUUUUAAAAAAAUAUUAUAGUUAAAUUAAUUUUACUGUGUAAUGUUUUAAAAAAAUUAUUUAUCUAAAUAUAUAGUCAAAUAAGUUAUAUUAUAUAUGUUUUAAAUGAGUAAUUACUGAGUUAGAGAAAAUACUUUUUUUUUUGAAUUGAAAAUUAAAAUUUAGAGAAAUAAAAUUUAAAACUUUUCAGAUUUAUUUAGAAAUACUUAUUAAUAGGUUAAACAUAUGAGUAUAGAAAAAAUAUUAAUUUAUCAAAGUCAAUAAAAAUAAAAUUUAAUAUUUAUUUAGAGUAUAAUAAAUGAGAAUUUAAUAAAUUAAUGAAAGAAAAUUUUAUUUCCAAAUAGUCAAUAAUAAAAUUUGUAUAUAGUUAUAAUGAAAAUUUUGAAUAUAUGAGAGCAAGAUUUUAUUUUUUAGUGAGAAUAAUAUUAAAAAUAAUAAAUAUAUAUAAUUAAAAUUACGGGGGCUUUGCCCCACUUUAAAUCUACCCCUAUUUCAAUUUACCUAUCUCUUUGAUAAUUUUAAAAUAAUAUUAAUUAUUAAUUUUCUAAAAUUUAGAGUAAAAAAAAGAUUUUUGAGUCUGUAAACUUAAUUUGGGUUAUGUUAUCUUUUAUUAUUAUUAUUAUUAUUAUUUUAUUACGGUUUAGUGAUGGAUAAACACCACUUUAUUAUAAUGCCAUAUAUUUUUAUCACGCAAAAUUAUAUGUACGGGUGUAUCUGUCUGUCCAUUCUCGUCAAACAUCUAUUUAAUUUUUUUGAUGCGCGUACUGAUAUGACCAUAGUACAGGUGGACUUACUCUUUUUACUCUCUAUUAAAUCAAACAAACUAGACUCUUUUCAAGUAGGUCUGAACUCUUGAUCAGUCUAGUAUGCUCUUGCUGCAAAUUGAAUAAUGUGUUGAUAGAUCAGUUUGAUUUGAGAGCUUUAAUGAAUUUUGAGUCUAUCUCUUUUUUGAAGGGCUCGACUUCAAUCUGAAUGUCAGAAACUCAUCGGUCAUCGAUUAUUAUUUUUAUAUAUACUCUUAUUAAUUUUUAAAUUAUUUUAUAUUAAUAUAAACAAAUAUAAUUAUUUAAAGGAUAUUUUAGAUAAAUUAUUUUUAAAAAAAAUAAAAUUAUUUUUUUGAAAGCAAGUAUUAAUAAAAUUCCAUUAAACAAAGUCAAACAAAGAGAUACAUCAUCUCAAAUAGAGAGACGAUUAUACCUGAUAAUUUCUCUAGUCAAAGUAUAAAUAGUUAGAGUAGCAUUACGACGAAUCCAUCUACCAGAAAUAUCAGUUAUAGAGUCUAAUAAAAAUUUACAAUCAUUCAAAAUCAAAUCACUGCGUAAAAUAAUUUGGCAAAAACACUCCUCAAGUGCCUGUCUAAACCCCUGCAUAAGAUAAUUUGGCAAAGAUACUAUUUUUUUCUCAUAUCUCGAGCAUAAAUCAUUAAAAUCUCAAGAGGAUCGAAGAAGCCGGCAAAAACAAAUAUUCGUUUGGAAGAGGAGCUCAAGAUUGAAGCUGCCUCUGUAAUUUUUAUAUAUAUAUGUAUUCCUUUCACUACUGCAAUUUACAUAUAUAUAUAUACAGAGUCAUAGUCCUAAGUAAAGAAGGAGUGUGUGUUAACAAUUAGUUAAAAGAACUAUUCUAACGGGAUUUUACAGGAUUUUACAGAUAUAGUCGGGAUUUUACAGGAUUUUGCAGAUAUAGUCAAAUGGCAUAUCACAUAUCCUUUAUACCCCCUCCUCAAGCUGGAGGUGAUGAAAAAUCAACCAAUCCAAGCUUGGAAACAAAAUCAUGAUAAGAAUGGGAAGGUAAAGUCUUGGUGAACAUGCCAGCCAACUGCAGGGAUGAAGGAAGGUAUGGUGUGUGAAUAAGACCAGCUUGUAUUUGAUUCCGAACCACAUGACAAUCAAUGUCAAUAUGCUUGGUGCGUUCAUGAAACACAGGAUUGGCAGCUAUAUGAAUAGCAGCCUUAUUAUCACAAUGAAGUGGUAUAGGUUUAACAACAGAAAUAUGAAAAUCUGUCAAAAGAGAAGUUAACCAUUGAAGCUCGCAAACGGUAGUAGCCAUAGCUCGAUACUCAGAUUCAGCAGAAGAUCGACUAACUGUAGAUUGCUUCUUAGUCUUCCAAGAAACCAAAGAGGUGCCAAGAAAAAUACAAUAUCCUGUGAUGGAACGACGAGAAUCUGUACAGGUCGCCCAAUCGGCAUCAGAAAAUGCCCGAAUUUUGAGAUCAUUGGUAGCUGGUAAAAAUAAGCCAAUAAAACUUGUACCCUUCAAGUACUUAACCACAGUAAGAGCAGCCUUGAGAUGCAUAGCGCGUGGAGCUUGCAUGAAUUGGCUAAGUUGCUGAACUGCAUAACUAAUAUCAGGGCGUGUCAUGGACAAAUAAAGUAAGCGACCAACAAGUCGUCUAUAACUCUCAACAUCUUGCAAUGGCUGUCCCAUGUCCGCCGUUAAUUUAACACCUUGGAUAUAAGGACUGCCUGCAACCUUGGCAUCUUGCAAACCAGUAUCAGAAAUAAUAUCAGUGAUGAACUUAUGUUGAGUUAACAUCAUGCCAGUAUCAGUGCGUGCGACUUCAAUGCCCAAAAAAUACUUGACAUCACCGAGAUCCUUAAUGGUGAAUUUCUUAUCCAAAUAAUGCCUCAAGGAAGAAAUUAGUGCAGCAGAUGGACUAGCAAUCAAACAAUCAUCAACAUAAACCAAGAGAGCAAUAAAAGUAUCUCCGGUACCUUUCGUAAAAAGACAAUGAUCAAAAGAAGACUGUUGAAACCCCUGGGACAGCAAACUUGCGGUUAAUUCUUUAUUCCAUUGUCGGCCAGCUUGCUUCAACCCGUAAAGUGAUCGUUGCAACUUACAAACUUGCCCGACUUCAGCUUUGUCAUAACCAGGAGGAACUUGCAUAUAAAUGUCCUCAUCAAGAAAGCCAUGCAAGUAUGCAUUAUUAAUAUUUAAUUGCUUAACGUGCCAUGAAUAUGCAGCAGCCACAGUCAAGAAAACACGCACAGUAACAAGUUUGGCCACCGGAGAAAAUGUUUGAUUAUAAUCUAGACCCAAUAACUGAUUGUACCCCUUGGCAACGAGUCUAGCUUUGUAGCGGUCUAUGCUUCCAUCUGCAUGAUAUUUAACCCUGUACACCCACUUACAACCAACAGGUUUAGUAUUAGGAGGCAAAGCAGUUAAUAUCCAAGUAUUAUUUUUUUCUAAAGCAUCCAAUUCAGUACGCAUAGCAUUCACCCAAUUCAAAUUAUUUUUAGCAUCAUUAUAAUUGCAAGGCUCUUUAACUUUAGAUAGAUUGGCAAUAAAAGUGACGUGGGAAGAGGAAAAAUUUAUGCGGGAAGUGGAAGAAGUAUUGGUAACAUAAUCAUCGAACCAGGCAGGAGGUUUCUUUGACCUUGUACUGCGCCGAACCUGUGAUGGAGGUGCAGGAACUAUUUGCAAAGCUGUCUCACCUUCCAAAGAAAUGGGACCGUCAUUACCCGAAGGAACAUUGGUGUCAGUAACUGUGGAUUCUGUACUAAGUGCAGGGGCAGAGUCGACAAUUUGAAUAUCAGUGGCGGAUGAUGGUGGUGUAUAAUCAGUAUCAGAAAUGCAAGUAGGCAAAACAAAAUUUGUGGCAUCUGUAGGUUGAUCAAAAUGAAAAGGAAAAAUAUUUUCCAUAAAAAUAACAUCACGUGAAGAAAUAAUGGUUUUGGUGGUGAGACAAAAUAACUUAUAUGCCUUUUGGUUUUGAGCAUAUCCUAACAAGACACAUGGAAAAGCUCUUGGAGCAAAUUUUGUUUUAUGAGGUACAGUAUUUGUAGCAUAACAAAGGCAUCCUAUGGUUCGAAAAUACCCAUAAUUAACCUGUUUACCAUGCAAUCUUUCAUAGGGAGUCUUCCAUUGCAAAUUUUCGGACGGCAAACGGUUAGUGAUAUGAGUUGCUGCUAACAAUAAUUCAGACCAAAAAUGAGGUGGAAGCUUAGAUUGAAAAAACAAGGUUCUAGCUAUGUUUAAUAAGGUGCGGUGUUUCCGCUCUACUACCCCGUUUUGUUGUGGAGUAUAAGGACAAGUACGUUGAUGCAAAGUGCCUUGUUCCUGUAGAAAAGAACUAUAUGCAGAAUUGACAAACUCAGUCCCAUUAUCAGUACGCAUAAUCUUGAUCUUCUUGUCAUAAUGUGUGAGCACAUAACAAAAAUAAGACUUCAAAGCAAUCAACACCUAAGCUUUUGUUUUUAACAUAUAUGUCCAGCAAAACCGACUAUAAUCAUCAACAAUAGUGAGCAUGUAAACAGCAUUUGUAACUGAUGUCAACUUAUACGGUCCCCAUAAAUCAACAUGGAUAAGAUCAAACACAUCUGUAGUAGAAAUAGAACUAGUAGGAAAUGAUAAUCUAGUUUGUUUUGCAACUGGACAUACAGGACACAUCAGCUCAGUGUAAUCACAUUUAACUACUCCAUCCACAUGCUUCAAUCUCUUAAAAGAAACGUGUCCUAGCCUUGAAUGCCAAAGCAUUGCCAAAUGUUUAUUAUGCUCAAAACAACGAUUAACAGAAUUACAAUUACUAACUCUAUUAAAAGAGUCUGCUGUCAAAUAAUAAAGAUCGUCNNNNNNNNNNNNNNNNNNNNNNNNNNNNNNNNNNNNNNNNNNNNNNNNNNNNNNNNNNNNNNNNNNNNNNNNNNNNNNNNNNNNNNNNNNNNNNNNNNNNNNNNNNNNNNNNNNNNNNNNNNNNNNNNNNNNNNNNNNNNNNNNNNNNNNNNNNNNNNNNNNNNNNNNNNNNNNNNNNNNNNNNNNNNNNNNNNNNNNNNNNNNNNNNNNNNNNNNNNNNNNNNNNNNNNNNNNNNNNNNNNNNNNNNNNNNNNNNNNNNNNNNNNNNNNNNNNNNNNNNNNNNNNNNNNNNNNNNNNNNNNNNNNNNNNNNNNNNNNNNNNNNNNNNNNNNNNNNNNNNNNNNNNNNNNNNNNNNNNNNNNNNNNNNNNNNNNNNNNNNNNNNNNNNNNNNNNNNNNNNNNNNNNNNNNNNNNNNNNNNNNNNNNNNNNNNNNNNNNNNNNNNNNNNNNNNNNNNNNNNNNNNNNNNNNNNNNNNNNNNNNNNNNNNNNNNNNNNNNNNNNNNNNNNNNNNNNNNNNNNNNNNNNNNNNNNNNNNNNNNNNNNNNNNNNNNNNNNNNNNNNNNNNNNNNNNNNNNNNNNNNNNNNNNNNNNNNNNNNNNNNNNNNNNNNNNNNNNNNNNNNNNNNNNNNNNNNNNNNNNNNNNNNNNNNNNNNNNNNNNNNNNNNNNNNNNNNNNNNNNNNNNNNNNNNNNNNNNNNNNNNNNNNNNNNNNNNNNNNNNNNNNNNNNNNNNNNNNNNNNNNNNNNNNNNNNNNNNNNNNNNNNNNNNNNNNNNNNNNNNNNNNNNNNNNNNNNNNNNNNNNNNNNNNNNNNNNNNNNNNNNNNNNNNNNNNNNNNNNNNNNNNNNNNNNNNNNNNNNNNNNNNNNNNNNNNNNNNNNNNNNNNNNNNNNNNNNNNNNNNNNNNNNNNNNNNNNNNNNNNNNNNNNNNNNNNNNNNNNNNNNNNNNNNNNNNNNNNNNNNNNNNNNNNNNNNNNNNNNNNNNNNNNNNNNNNNNNNNNNNNNNNNNNNNNNNNNNNNNNNNNNNNNNNNNNNNNNNNNNNNNNNNNNNNNNNNNNNNNNNNNNNNNNNNNNNNNNNNNNNNNNNNNNNNNNNNNNNNNNNNNNNNNNNNNNNNNNNNNNNNNNNNNNNNNNNNNNNNNNNNNNNNNNNNNNNNNNNNNNNNNNNNNNNNNNNNNNNNNNNNNNNNNNNNNNNNNNNNNNNNNNNNNNNNNNNNNNNNNNNNNNNNNNNNNNNNNNNNNNNNNNNNNNNNNNNNNNNNNNNNNNNNNNNNNNNNNNNNNNNNNNNNNNNNNNNNNNNNNNNNNNNNNNNNNNNNNNNNNNNNNNNNNNNNNNNNNNNNNNNNNNNNNNNNNNNNNNNNNNNNNNNNNNNNNNNNNNNNNNNNNNNNNNNNNNNNNNNNNNNNNNNNNNNNNNNNNNNNNNNNNNNNNNNNNNNNNNNNNNNNNNNNNNNNNNNNNNNNNNNNNNNNNNNNNNNNNNNNNNNNNNNNNNNNNNNNNNNNNNNNNNNNNNNNNNNNNNNNNNNNNNNNNNNNNNNNNNNNNNNNNNNNNNNNNNNNNNNNNNNNNNNNNNNNNNNNNNNNNNNNNNNNNNNNNNNNNNNNNNNNNNNNNNNNNNNNNNNNNNNNNNNNNNNNNNNNNNNNNNNNNNNNNNNNNNNNNNNNNNNNNNNNNNNNNNNNNNNNNNNNNNNNNNNNNNNNNNNNNNNNNNNNNNNNNNNNNNNNNNNNNNNNNNNNNNNNNNNNNNNNNNNNNNNNNNNNNNNNNNNNNNNNNNNNNNNNNNNNNNNNNNNNNNNNNNNCCUUUCACUACUGCAAUUUACAUAUAUAUAUAUACAGAGUCAUAGUCCUAAGUAAAGAAGGAGUGUGUGUUAACAAUUAGUUAAAAGAACUAUUCUAACGGGAUUUUACAGGAUUUUACAGAUAUAGUCGGGAUUUUACAGGAUUUUGCAGAUAUAGUCAAAUGGCAUAUCACAUAUCCUUUAUAAAAUCUCUCGAACAAAGUCACGAAAGAGAGUUUCUACGUGAUAAAGCUCGAAUAAGGUUUCAAGACUGACGUCGUCGUUGCGAUUCCGGAAACCCAUUAUAACUAGUAAACCUCAAUUGAAAAUUACCUUCCGAAACAACCGAAUCAAUAAAAUUUGAAAAAAAACCAACCACAGAAACAGACUUAUAAUUCUCCCACAUUAACGAAAGGUCUCCUCCAAAUUAUUGUCUAUUGACUGAGAAGCAAUCAUCACUUACGAUUGUGGGGUGGAAUCUGAGGGUCUAGCUUAUGAUUGUGGGUGAAAUAUGGGAGCUCUUAAGAGAGACAACAACAUUUUCUUUUUCAUCAAUAGUCAAUUGAUGCAGAUCGUCUUCCAUGGGGAAGGCGAGACCAUCGAACCAUAAAAAGACCACAGAGAAAAAUUUGCAUCGAAAAAAAAAAUAUAAAACUUAUUUAGUAUAUUUAUUUGGGUGCAUAAAAAAAUAAAAUUAUUAAUUAGUAAUAUUUAUUUGAGUGCAUAAAAAAUUUGAGAAGAAGGGCUCUAAGCUAAAUGGAUUACAAUUUAAUGCAUCAUUACAAGCAUUUGUUUCAUUAAAGGUUGAAGUAGUUCAACAUAAAUUUUCUGUCUGUCUGAAAAGCUAUAAUUUUUUCAUCCGCUCAAAUUAUCUUUUUUUUUUGUUGAGAUAAUUAUUUAUUAACUUUAAUAUUUAUCAGAUAAAAUUUAUUAAUUUUAAAUAAUACAAUAAUAUAAAAUGAUUAUAUAUUAGAUAAAAUAAUAAAUUUAUUAUUAUAAUAAUUAUAUUUAUUAAUUUAAGACGUAAAAGGUACUUGGGUUGUACCUAUAAAUUGCCAAUUGGAUAUACCUAACAUAUUUCACAUUUAAUUCAUAUUCACAUAUAUAUAUAUAUAUAUAAAUGCAAAUUUGAAAUUUGAAAAGGUGGCAAAGAGAAACUGCAACGCUGCUUCUUAUAAUACUAGUCGCAAUAUUUUUCUUUUAAUAAAUACACCGUCCUAUCCCGUAUCAGAGAUUCCAGAGAGCGAGCCUGAACCUUCAUUUACUCUUCAGCACAUGGACCCACAAAUAAUUCUUCUUUCUUAAACGACAAAAUCAUAUAAAACUCCGCCUCAUCNNNNNNNNNNNNNNNNNNNNNNNNNNNNNACCCAACCCAAAAAAAAAAAAAAAAAGUCUAAAAUGAGAGUAGGUGCAUCCCCAUUUCCAAAACAAAGCAACAUAAAUCACCAAGCACAAAAAGCAAGACCCCCAGGUUCCACCCCACAAUUUCUUCAAGUUUAUAUAAUGCAUCAAGCUCACACACAGAAAACAAACUAGAAAUUGACAUAUUGAAGCUUAAAAUAAUACUGGAAUCUGGAAACAAGUUAUUAGUUAAACAGCACUAUUAUCGACCUUGUAAAAGCACAAUUAAUUACUGCUCCACAUGCAUGUCACUAGAACUGAUUGAAUUAAAUUUAGCUUAAUUUCUUCAGUUAAAUCUUAAACAUUAAUUAACAAUAUUUAAUUAGAUUUCAUUACUCAUCAUAGUCUUGCUUUGCAUCAUGGAGUUCUUGCAGUGAGCGAUUGCACCUUGAAUGGCACUCUGCAAUUCUUCCAUUGAUGAAUUAUCUGCGUAGUACAUGCCAACUCUGCUGCCUGUGCCUGAGCCUGCGAACCCAUUUCUACAUAGCACGCCAGAGUGGCUGGGUGAUGACCUCAUGGAUGAUGGGCAGCUUGAAACGCAGCUUCUCCUUCUUGGGUACCUCAGAUUUCCUGAGAAAGAGUGAGAAAAUCCUCGGUUGCUUUCUUUGUUUGCGUUCUUGACAGAGUCAUCAGAUCUUUCUGAUUUGAUGGAGAAUGAGACGCUGCUUAUAGGUGCUGCUGGCAUUGGAUUUACUCCUGCCAUUUUUUGCUGUUGUUUCUGAGAAAGUUUCUCGUAUAAUGGCUUCACUUUCUUCAAGUACUUCCUUAUCACCUCCUUUGCUGUCGCGCUCAUUCUCUUUACUGAAGAACCAGACACCGCAUCGUUUUCACGGUUUUUGGGCUCUUUCUUGAACACAGAGGAGAAUCUCGACAAGGAGAAGUAUUUAUUGCUCUUUUUGAUCUGAGAACUCAAAUUAACGUGGCUUUGAAAAUGAGGGUAAACGUUGUUAAGCCGCUUGAACUCAUCGUCUUCGGUGACAGAACUGGGUCUUGAAGAGUCACAUUCUCCGAGCAAGACAAGAUCACUACUGAAGGAGGAGGUGGAUUCAUUGGAGCUGCCGGUAGAGUCGCGAGAGGCAGUGGUAGUGGUAUCUGAAGAGGAGGAAGUGCUUGAAGAGGCUAAGAGUAUUGUGCGGACCAUGGAAAUACGAGGGGAGAGAUGCAGAGGCAAGAGCUGGCCCUUGUAGAAGAGCUCAUCAGCUGGGCAUAUAGCUGUGGAUGAUUUGCGUGGAGACAAAGAGAUUGUGAACUCAAAAUCUGAGGAAGAAGAGGAAGAGAAAGAAUGAGAAGGUGAUGAAGGUAGAGUUUGGGACGAUCUCAAGUCUUUCUCUCUUCUCUUCCCCAUCUUUGCUGCUACAUUAUCUGCAUCAUAAGAUCAGCAAAGCCAGAGAGAGAGAGAGAAGCAAAAUUGAUUGAGAGGUAAGAUCGAUAUGAUUAUAUAGAUGGAGGCUUUGUUUGACCUCACUCUCCAUUCUGGAGAGUGGAAAACAAGCGCCACCACCCACCAGUAAUUGUGGUCCAAAUUUUUUUGUGCUGUACGUUAUUUAGCUGUUAGUGUAUCGAAUUCCUUGAUCUGGGUAACGGUGGGAGGGGUCACAUGGGAGCUUGGAACGUCUCUUUCCCCCAUCUCUCUCUUGUGUUUGUGUGAUUGCAUUUGCAUGCAGCGGAAGCGUCACGUGCCCUAAACGUGAAAGGUGGGGUUAGAUCGUGGGUGAUAAAUAACGUUUUUUUUAUUUUACUCCGGGACAGAAUCCUCCAUUCAGAAUGCUGUAGUUAGUGUGAUGAGUGCGAGUGAUCAUCAUCUUCAGUACCUGCUGCCCCAUUUCACAGUUGUAUAGUCCACCUUCAAUAGGCAUUUUUUACCUGCACAUCGAUCUCUGGCUUUUUCAAUAACAAAUAUACAAAUUAAUGCUGGAAGUUUUUGUUAUUAAAAUAGGACAGCGAUAAUAGAGAUCUCACUCAUCCUCUUGCUGGCUCUCACUUGAUAGAGACGCAAUGAUUUUAAGGUUAAUCACAUUUUCCAAAACACUGCCUCUAGCUAACAAUUAACUACUCAUCCAAGGGUACGGACAUUGACUUAAACGUGGAGUUGGAUGCUUAAACCAAUGCAUGGCAUGCACAUACAAGCAACAAGCGAAUCAGUCCAUUUCUAGUUUUUUCUUUUACUGUGUCGACUUCAUGAUUAAGCAUUUGAUGCGUUACUUAGUUCUUACCUUAAUUACAUCGAAUUAAAAAGAGCUCAAAUCCAAAAACAACAUUCAUUUCAGCCGUUCAAAGCACCGAAAGGUUUAAUAUAUGGUUGUAAUAAACUAGGAAGUGAUAACUAACUGAGCCUGUUGGCUCUUAAGGAACAUUCGUUCUUUGAUUAGGGUAGCCAUUGGGGAUUUCAACUCAAGGUUUACCAGAAUUUAAUUAUUAAAUAGUAUGAUUUCCAUUUUAAUAAAAUUUAACAGUUAAAUUUUUUUUAUUAGAAACAAUAAUUGAAACAAUUAAUUUAUAUGUCCCUCUUCCAUAAUGCAGUCUUGUGGGUGGUGCCAUUGCCAAUAAGAAGAGUUAGUCUCAUCAUGGUAACCAAAACGCAUGACCUAAUAUUCAAAUCCAGCAGGACCCAAACACAACUAAGCAGAGCUCAUUACCAAAUCUUGGAGCAUAGAUACACCUUUAAUCUUUGUUUGAAUUCUAUAUAUAUGCUUUUAUUUAAUUAGCUCAAAUAAACUUUAUUAUGAUCGAUUUUUUCAGUAUAAAAAAAUUUACAUGGUGAUGCCUAAUUAAGAUAUUUCAGGAAGGGAUUUGAGAAUAAUGUAUAGGUUGAUCCAAAAAUUGAAAAUGAUUUUCUAAACAAAUUUGGUAAAGCUUGUUUUGUAUACCCCAUUAAUUAAUUAUUACAUUCAAGGUCAUCAAUUAUGCAAUAUAAUUUUUUAUGUUACUUUUAAGUUUUUUUAAUUAAUAUUUCAGGUUAUACGUUGAGUGUAUGCAAGGAAACCUUCUGGUCUGUAUUAAUUUUAUUUUUUUUGAAUUUUUAAUAAAAAAUUAUUUUCAACAAAAGAAACUUUUUAUAUACCGUUUUAGAAUUUUGAUUUUUUUAAAUAUUGAUGUCAUUAAUGCUAUGCCUUGUCAAGUUGAAAUUAAUAUAUCUGGGAAUACUAAUUGGGCCGAAGUGAAAUCUCAUUGCAUGUAAAUCCGGUGGAACCCCAAUUAAAAAUCUAUGGACAGAUAAUGGGCCCGUCAUUUUCCUGAAUCACAUCACAUGUCACACUUGUCACCGAGCGGGAUAUUAUUUUUAUUUUUAUUUUUAUUUAAAUAAAUUUAUUAACUAAAAAAUAUUAAAUUUUACGAUAUGUUAUAUUUAUAGUAAAAAAAAUUUUAAUUUUAAAUUAAAAAGCUUUAAAUUUUCAAUUAUAACAAUUUUUUAUAUUAAUUUUUAAUUUAUUAUAAUUAUAUUAAUCUUAAUCAUAUUUAAAAUAACUUACCAAGAUGCAAUGUGUUAUCACUUUUAUUAUAUAAAUAUAUUAACUAAAAAAUGUUUAGUAUUAAACUAAUUAUUGUUGUUAAUCAUUAUAUAAAUAUACGUUAUUAUAUAAUUAAUACAUAAAUGAUAUGGAAAAUAACUACUUAAUACAUAAAAUUUAAGCUUAUUAUAAGCACUAAUUUAGAAGCUCUUUAAAAUCAUCUAAGCAUUGAAAAUGACUUCAUUCACGAUGAACGGGUCAAAAUAAGUAUUAUAUAUAUAUAUAUUUUCAAAUAACACCACUAAUAGGACCAUUCUUAAAUAAAUGUUAAUAAUUUUUAAGGAUAUUCUGAUUUUGAGCACGAGUGGUCGAGUGCUGAUUGAAAAUAAUUAUAUCUGAAAAGGGCAAAGACAUAACUAGACAUGCAUGUAAGGACAGAAGUGUUGAAUUCUGCCAGCAAUUGGAAUUUCAUAUUGAACAUAUAUGAAAAAUAAAUUUGGGUUUCUCAAUUGCAUGGUGUAUUGAAUCUCAGAAAAUCCAAUCAUCAUCCUAAAAAGACGUGGCCCUUUUGCCUUUUCUUUUCUUCAAUCUCUAACCGUUAUUAUUCUCUCUAUUGACUCCCCGAAAACAAACAGAAAACGUUAAUUUUGUCGCUGGAGAUCUGUUCUUGCUGCUGCUGCUAACAACAUCACGUAGGUACUGAUAUAUCCAAGUAGCAUGGGCUCAGCUCAACGUCGCAUUCAAGCCAUCAACUCCCAUGUUAUUGCUGCCGUCGACACUCCUUCUCAGCUCCGUCUCAAACCCGCAGCUGGCGAGUUUUUCUCUGGUAACUCUCUCUUCAAAUGCUAUAUCUUCUCAAUGCCUGCAUUUGGCAUUGCCAUUUAUUAUAUGCAAUCUUCGAUUUCUGCGAUAUCAAUCGUUGGUCGUGGAAAGCAGAGAUUCCUUUGUUUGAAGAAAGGGUUUUCUGCAAUCAUUAUUAAUAAUACAGGGUUUACUGUUACACUUUUAUAUAAUGUUGGUUUUAGUUAGAAGUAUAUAUUGGUUAUCAUUAAGAUCGGAUCACUAUUUUUCCUUUUUUUUACUGAAAAGAUUACUAUUAUCCGGAGUUUGUGUUCUUUGCAUCAUAUAUAUUUAUUUUCCUCUUAAUAAUUUGAGAAAAAUGAUCUAUGGGUUUGUUUGGAAACGCAGCUUUCUGGGUUUUAAUCAUUCCCUUGGCAGUUUUAAAUAAUUAUGGUCUUAAAUAUGUCUCACUUCUUCCUAGUUGGCUGCAGCUUUGGUUUGUGUAUAUAUCUUUUUUUCCUGUCAUGUUUUUGGUGUCUGUAUACUAAUUUUUAAUACGGUCAAUGCUGAUACUGAUCUCUCACCAGAGCAGGGUUACAGUGUUGUGCUUCCAGAGAAGUUACAGACGGGAAAAUGGAAUGUAUACAGGUAUAUAUUUGACCCAAAUUCUUGACGUGUGGACCGCAUUGCCCCUGAGAUUCUAUUAGGUGCUCAUUUUUUUUUCCCUGGCAGGUCUGUCCGUUCUCCUCAUAAGCUUGUGAGCAGAUUUCCUGAUAAUCCUGAUAUUGGUACAUUGCAUGAUAAUUUUACGUAAGGAUCCUUCUUUUUUCCUGACUUAUUUAUUCUUGAAGCUUCUUAAGUUCCAGUUAACUUGUCUGCGUCAAAUGUAGAGCAUUCAAUUUCCUCUGUUUAGAAGCUUAAUUGUUUGUCGAACAUGGUGACUGUAGGCGGUCUGUUGAUGCUUUCCGUGAUUACAAAUAUCUGGGAGCACGAAUUCGGAUUGAUGGAAAAAUUGGAGAGUAAGUCCCAUAUGAAGCCAAAUUAAGUUGACACUUUUUAGCUUAUCUCAUCUUGAGUUUUGAUUAAUUUUAUACUAGGUAUAAAUGGAUGACAUAUGGAGAAGCAGGUACUGAGCGGACAAGAAUUGGUUCUGGCCUAAGGUAUCAGGGAAUGUCAAAUGUGAGUAUCUGCUGAAAAAAUAGAUUUUCCAUUGCAUUUGCAUAUUGGUCCUUUUUUUUAAUACAUGAUCAUUGGCUUUAAUGUGACAGGGAUCUUGUAUUGGAUUAUAUUUUAUCAACAGACCAGAAUGGCUCCUUGUUGAUCAUGCCUGCUCUGCGUACUCUUUUAUAUCAGUUCCUUUAUAUGACACUCUCGGUCUGUCAAUUGCUGACAUUGAAGUUUGAUUUUAUUUUUGCCUGAUCCUUUGGAUCUUGAAAUCAAUAAAUCAGUCUUGUUUUGUCUGCAGGUCCAGAUGCUGUCAAGUACAUUGCAAAUCAUGCUGAUAUACGGGCUAUAUUUUGUUUGCCCCAAAUUUUGACCCCUGUGAGUUAAAUUUGUGCUCUUAGGCAUGCUUGAAGUGAUCUUUUCGUGCUUUAUGAGGAACUUCAGAGUUUGGGCCUUUUGUGGGAUCACAGUUUCUGUUAAUUAAAUUUGUUAAUUAAAUUUGUUAAUUGUGUUCCAUGAUAUACACUUGGUGCCUUCAACUAGAGAUAAAAUUUUCCAGUUUAAGGAAUGAGAUAUGCAACAAAAGAUAUAAGUUUCUUUAUUACUUUUCUUGGAUGCAAAAGAUUAAUUUAAAAAGUAAAGGUGAUCUUUUCUUAAAUUUUGAAAUUAAAGUGUGGGUGGGUGUAUAUGUAUUAUAUGAAUAUGCAUAUGUAUCUUCUACUUGUUUGCUUUAGUAGCUGUAAAAUUGGCAAUUGGAGCUUCAUUGAGAAAUUUACACUUAAUUUUUCUUUUAAUCUUUGCUUAUUUAUUUUUUUUUUGUUUGCACGAUAUUGUUGGUGGGAGGAGCCUUGAUGCUUCUUGUUUUGAUUGUACAAAAUUCACAUAAAUAUAAUUCAUGUUUCUAACCUUUCAACCUCUCGGUAUUGAUCCCUUUAAUGUUUUGAAUCAGUUUUUGUGUCCAGCUGAGUCCCCUUAUUAUGUAAACAAGUAAUAUCACUGCUGCUGCUUAUACUAAUUUUUGUGUAUCACUGUUUUUCCAAUUAUGCUAUUUAUGAAAUGAAUGAUAGUGAGUUUCCUCCUACAAUAUUUUCACUAUAUUCCUUCAAUUUUGCAGUUGCUGAGUUUCUUGUCUGAAAUUUCAACUGUUCGUCUGAUUGUGGUAAGGAAACCUGCCUGAUUUUUGUUCACUUUGAACAGAAUGGUAGUAAAUUCCACACAUUACCAAGUUUGGUCUUGAGCAUUUUCAUUUGCAUUUCCCCUUAAACAGGUUGUUGGAGGGAUGGAGGAUCAAAUGCCAUCUCUUUCAUCAUCAACUGGAGUUCAGGUUAUAACAUAUUCAAAACUUCUUAGUCAGGUAAUUGACAUCCUUUCUUGUCGAUAUGCCCUUGAUUAUUUUAGAUGACAUGAAUAAAAUGAUGCUUAUUGUUAAAUACCUUCCAUUCUAAUGAUUUAUUCCACAAGUUUAAUCUCUCAGAAUAUAAACCUAACAUAACCUUUAGUAUGUCAUUCUGAAUUAGGGGUGUAAACGAACCGAGCCGAGCCGAGCUUUGAAGAGCUCAAGCUUGGUUCGUUAAAAUUUUUUCGAGCUCGAGCCGAAUUCGAGCUUUACUCAUAUUGAACUCGAGCCGAGUAUUGAGAAGCUCAAACUUGGCUCGUUUAGCAAACGAGUUUAGACGAGUCGAGCUUUUAUCGAGCUGAGUCGAGCUUUAAUCGAGCUGAGUCUCAAAUAGUUCACGAGUAAUUUAAUUUAUUUACAUGUAUAAUGAGUUUUAGUUUAAAACUAAUAAGUUUAAAACUAAAAUAAUUUUAGUUAAAUAAGUAUAUCUACAAAUUAGCAUGUAAACUUAUAAAGAUGAGUUUUUAAAUCUCAAUGAUCCAAAUAUAUGCAAGUUUAAGAGUGUAACUAAACUAUAUAGAGCUGAAUUUUAAAAAAUUUAGAUUUGGCUCAUUAAAGUAUAUGCAGGGUUUGAGUUUAUUUCUCUUAUGAUAGUAAUUUCAGUUUGCUUAACGAGACUGUUCACGAGCCUAUUCGCGAGCCUGCUCAUGAACUCAGAAACGAGCCGAGCUCACAAGUCUUAACGAGCCGAAUACUAUGGAGCUCAAGCUUGGCUCGUUUACCAAACGAUCCUAAAAAUUAAGCUCGAGCUUGGCUCGUUUAGAAAUCGAGUCAAGCUCGGUUGAGCUUUUAUCGAAUCGAACCUCGAAUAGCUCACGAACGGUUUGGUUCAUUUACACCCCUAUUCUGAAUAUUUUCCAUUAGCCUUCAUGAAGAGCUUGAACUGAUAUUAGAUACUGCAUAAUUUGAUUUAUAUUUAUCAGAAGUUUCUUUAAAGGUUAAGGAAGCAUUACCCUGUAUGAUUUUAUUCCGACCUUUCCAGCAUUUUCCAGUUGUCUGCAUCAUUUUAACUACUGCCUCUUGAUUUAUUUAUGUUGCAUUUAUAGUGGUAGCUAGGCCUGGCCAAGCAUCACCUGUAAAUCAAGCACUGUUUAUUAUCAAAUUGCUUCCAAUAGUAUUUGUGAUCUUGCAGGUUUGUUAGUUUUUCUUUAUCACUAAAAUAAUUACUUUCACAUUUGAAUUGCUGACUUUUAGGGCCGCAGUAAUCCUCAUCCUCUUUCUCCGCCAAAACCUGAAGAUGUUGCUACAAUUUGCUACACAAGUGGUACAACAGGGACACCAAAGGUAUGAAUAUGAGUUCUCCAAGAAUUUCAAGUUUCUGAUUUUGAAGCUAGAUGUUUCUGAUUGGUUUAACUGAGUUUUGCAAAUGGAACUCAAUUUUAUUGUGAUAAACUCUGUCAAGGGAGUCACAUUGACCCAUGGAAACUUGAUUGCACACGUUGCUGGACUCAGUGUUAAGGCUAAUUUUUACACAUCAGAUGUGUGAGUACUGCAAACUUUAUUAAUCACAUAGUAUAUUGUGACUGAAGUUCCAACCUAAUGCUUUCUCUUGGCUGAAUUACAUGUGAUUUUGCCAGCUACUUGUCAUAUCUUCCUUUCCCACACAUUUAUGAAAGGGCAUUCCAGGUCUUGUUAGCAUAUUACGGAGUUGCUGUUGGAUUCUAUCAGGGAGUAUGAUACUUAACAUUUCUGCUUUUUAGAUCUUGAAUUUGUGCUGUUAUAUUAUGCUUUUCAUAAUGGUUACCUCGAUAAAGUAGCUCAUGUUUUCAGAGUCAUUUUGAUCCAAGUAGUCCGUUCAAAUUUUAAACACACCUUCCAUUGAAUGCAGGAUACUACGAAGCUAAUGGAUGAUGCGGCUGCUCUAAGACCCACAAUCUUUUGCAGUGUUCCUCGGCUGUAUAAUAGAAUAUAUACUAGGUGAAGUCACUGAACAUUACUGCUCAAUGCAAUCUUUUUUAUUGCACUACUGUCUUUAAAUGAUGAUUGAGCCGAAAACUUUAUUUGCAGCAUUAUAAAUUCAGUAAAGACAUCUGGUGCUUUAAGGGAAAGGUUAUUCAAUGCUGCCUACAAUGCUAAGAAGCAGGCACUUCUGAAUGGUAGAGAAUAGUAUUUUAUAAUAUCUUUGUUGCUUUAAGCUUUUCCUAUUGUGUUCUAUUCUUUUAUACCUACAUUGUGAAAUUUCAUUUUUCACUAUACUAUUACAAUAUGAUUUCGGGAAGGAGAGAGCAAAUUUUGAAAAGUAUAAAUAUAUGUAGACCUUUUAUGAGGAUAAGCAUUAUAGUUUAUGAAUUUAAGGCUGAUCUUGCAAUGCAAAGUCAUGUUCAUUUCAUUGUAUGAAAGGUGGAUUGUGGAGGUGCCGAGGUGCAGAAUAGAGCACUAAAUGAACUGCUCAAGAAAUAUUAACUUUUAAUCUGUGCUUGAAACAAUUAAGCUAGUGUAAAGCAGACAUCUAAUGUGCACGAGUCUAUGCAUCACAAUUGGCUGGGCUAGAAGAUUGAAUUUGUUGGUGAGAGUUCAUAAAUAAGUCUUAUAUAUCCUUCACUAACACUACCCUUAGCCUUAUUGAUCAUGACUUUAUUAUUUGAGCUAUUAGCACUAAGCAAGCAUCUGUGACAUGACCAAUACCUCAAAGUUCUGGGGCAUGUUGUGUUCUGAGUAACUUCAAAUGCAGCAUCAAGGGAUGGACCUCCAAACUUACAAUCUUUAUCAUUAGAUUCUGAUUAGUCAAAAGUAAGUUCUCUUUGUUGCUUAGAUGUUUAUCAGCUGUGCUAUAUGUAAUACUGGUGCAGGCGAGAGUCCAUCUCCAAUGUGGGACAGAUUGGUGUUCAAUAAGAUAAGGGAGAGACUUGGUGGAAGAGUUCGUUACAUGGGAUCUGGUGCUUCACCCUUGUCUCCUGAUGUCAUGGAGUUCUUGAAGAUGUAAGAUGAUUAAUUUUUAGCUUUUCAACAAUUACUAGGGUGUGGCUUUUUUUUUUUCAUCCGUCCAUUUAGCAUGAUAUAUUUUGUAAGAGAAGAGUACAUAAAUUUUUACAAAAUUAUGCAUGAUUUUAUUCUUUUUUUGUAAUAAGACAAGGAAUAAUUGGGUAAUUUCUAUAUAUUUUCUCUACUAAAAUAAUUCUAUUUAUGUACAAAUUACAAAGUUUUGUUAAGACAACUUCUAAGAAUCCUCUAUCAAUCAAUUAGUAUCAAUUAACCUAUGAUUAUGUAAUCUCCUUUAAUUAUAUACAAAUUAUAUUCACACUCUAACACUCCCCUCAAGGUGGAACAUAGAUGUUUAUCAUGCCUAAUUUGUUAUAAAAAUAUUCUAUUUGAGGCUCAUUUAAAGUUUUGGUGAGUAGAUCGCCCAGUUGCCCUCCUGUUUUCACAUAACUAGUGGAAAUUAAUUUUUUUAAAUAUUCUCAUGGAUGAAAUGACAAUCAACUACAAUAUAUUUGGUCUGUUCAUGGUAUACUAGGUUGGAAGCAAUGUGAAGAGUAACUUGAUUAUUACACUAAAAUUUCGCAAGUGACGCAACAUCCAAACCAAUUUUUCUAGCAGAUGAUUUAUCCAUAGAAUCUCACAAGUGGAUUGAGGCAUGACUCUGCAUUCUAACUCGGCACUAGAUCUCAAUACCACAUUUUGCUUCUUAUUUUUUCAGGACAUUAGGUUUCCUCCAACAAACACAUAGUAGCAUGUAGUCGACCUUCUAUUACUUUUGAAUCCCGCCCAAUCAACAUCUGAAAAAAACACUAAACUGCAGUAUGCCUGUGUUCACUGUAGUAUGCCUAUGAUCACUGUAGACUAUACUGAGUCCAGAGAUCCCUUUUAGAUAAUAUAGAAUUUGUUUUAGAGCAGUCCAAUGUUUAGGUGUAGACAUGAACUUAUUUACAAUGCUUAAUGCAAAAGCAAUAUUUGGCCGAGUUAUCACGGUAAGGUAGUUCAACUUUUCAACCAACCUUUUGUACCUCUCUGAGUCAUCAUAGGGGUCGCCAUCAUCUUUUGUGAGACAUACAUUAGAAAUCAUUGGUGUGCUACAGGGUUUAACUCCCAUCUUUCUAGUUUUUGCAAGUAAAUGAAGGACAUACUUCCUUUUAAGACAUGAAAAAUUUCCUUUUUACUUCUCAAGACUUUGACUCCCAAGAAAUAUUUAAACUGAUCCAAGUCUUUGGUACAAAAACUCGCAAGCAAUAAGGAUUUGAGGGAAGAGAUGCCUGCAAUAUUAUUCCCUCUAAUGACAAUGUCAUCAACAAUAUUUGAAUUUUUGUAAAAGACUAAGUAGUCACACUUACUUUUUUUCAACCUAAAUUCUUGAACAACUUCACUGAACUUGUCAAAUUAUGCAUGGGGAUUUUGCUUCAGUCCGUACAAAAAUUUCUUCAAAUGCUAGACUUUUCCAUACUCCCCCUGAGAAAUAAAUCCAGAUGGUUGCUCCAUAGAUACCUCUUAAAAAUCACCAUAUAAAAAUACAUUCUUGACAUCUAACUGGUAUAAAGGCCAAUGCUGAGAAGCAAUUAGAGAGAUGAACAAGCGAAUUAAGGUCAUUUUGGCCACAGGAGAACAAGUGUCAGAGUAGUCAACAACAUAGGUUUGAGCUUAGCCUUUAGCGACAAGAUGGACUUAAAAGAUAGGCCUUAAGCCUUGCUACAGAACCAUCUAUAUUAACUUUAAUAGCAAAAACUCAUUUACAGUCUACAGCCUUCUUGUCCGGGGGUAAAUUAACUACUUUUCAAGUAUAAUUUUCAUCUAGAGGCUUGACUUCCUUAAGUAUUGCAUCUCGCCAUCUAGAAUGGAUCAGGGCCUCCUUUACUGACUUAGAUAAGGAAAUGGAAUCUAUAGGACAAUUAAGGAGAUAGAGGAAGGAGACAAGUGAUCAUAAGAAAGAAAGUUAGCAACAGAGUAGGUAGACUUACAUUGUCGUUUAUCUUUAUAAAGACUAAUAGAAAAGUCAAGGCCACUGGGUAGUGAAUCUGAUGACGAAAUAGAUUCUGAUACAGGACAUGUAUCAUCAGGUAUUGUUCUCCCUUAAACAACUGGCAGGAGGUUGAGUAUUAAAAGGAACUCCACCAUCAAAUUGUUUGUAGGAGUUCCCACCAUCAGAUAUGAUUCUAUAGAUAAGCCACUCAUCGUCCUCAACCUGACUAGUAGAGGUUUGUGCAAUAGUAAAAAAAAAAAUUACUUUAAAAAGGCUAUAUCUAUAGAGACUAGAUACUUGUUAAGCUCUGGAAGACGAAAAUAUUUCAAAAAAAUACACUUCAAAGCUUUAAGUCAAGAUUAGUCACAUGAGGUCUGACAUUCGGAACAUAACAAGUGCUGCUAAAAAGUCAUGAUUCCAGAGGAGAUAAUGGACUUAGGAAAGAGGACAUUAUAGUAAGUAUCACCAUUUAGCAUUGGAGAGGACAUGCGAUUGAUGAGGAAGCAUGCAAUGGAGACAGCAUCAGUCCAAAAUGGCUUAGAAACUUGCAUUUGAAACAGCAGAGCUCGAGCAGUCUUAAGGUGAUGUCAAUUUUUUCCUUUCAGCUAUCCUAUUUUGAGCGAGUGUAUCAAUACAUGACGAUUGGUGGAGAAUACCAUGUUGAGUCGUAUAAACCUGGAAUGAUUCUGACAUAUAUUCUUUAACAUUGUCGCUUCAUAAAAUUUGCACAUAAAUAUUAAAUUGAGUUUUGAUUUCAGCACAAAAGAUAGAAAAAUGAUAAAAUACUUCCGAACAAUGCUACAUAAAAGAAAUCCAAGUCAUUUUAGAAAAUCAUCCACAAAAGUGAUAAAAUAUGAAAUAUUUGAAUCCAGGCCUAGACCCAAUCGGACAUGGCUUGCAAACAUCCGAAUGAACUAAUUCAAAAGUAAAUUCAGCUCGUUUAUUGACUCUAGGACUUAAAGAGUUUUGAUGAUGUUUUGCCAAAUGACACGACUCACUCUAGCGAAAAAAACUCAUGAAAUUAAGGGUAUAGUUGUUCCAACUGACAAUGUGCUUUGAACAGAGACACGAUACUGGAACAGGCACCAGACCGAGGUACUCAUGCAUCCAAAAUAUAGAGGCCACCAGAUACAUGUCCUUUACCAAUAAUUUGCUUUAUCACAAGAUUCUGAAUGAGACAAUGAUUAUGAAAAAAUAAGACACGAUAAUUUAAGUUUUUGGUAAAUUUACUCACAGAAAUUAAAUUAAAAGCAAGAUUAAGUAAAUUUAGCAAAGAUAAUAGAGUAAUAGAAGAAGUAGCUUUAACAGUCCCACAACCAUCAACAUUAUAAGUUGACCCAUCAGUUAUGGUAACAGGAGAAAGUACUGUAUGAGAUCAAAAGCUGGUAAAAAUAUGAGGAUUACCUGUCAUGUGAUCUGUGGCACUAGAAUCAAUGAUCCAUUUGUGUGAAGAGGAGAUAAGGUAAAUUUUACCAAUCUCAGCAAUAGCAGUGGAUCCUUUCAACUAAUUUUUUGCAAUUUUGAUAGGCGUUGGGAUGAUUUUAAUAAUAUGGAUCUUACUAUCAGAAGCCAUUUCAAACAAAAUUUAGCAUAGAACACCAAUUCACUUCACAAAAUACUUCAAGACACGAAAUCAAACCUUAAAACACUACACCCAACCUCAAAAAGCUUAAACACAGGUAAGGAAUGGAGGAUCUAGAAUUUGCUUUGUCACAACAGAGGAGAAAUUCAACUACAGUAGCGUCCAAUGACAAAUCCGUUGCCGGAAACUGAAUGGAAACCUCGAGGCGACUUCGUAACAGGAACCCGAGGCUUGCCAGACGCACCAUGCUCCUCCAUGUACUAGUGUGUGACAAAUUAAACCGAACCUUCAAAUGGUGCGUGAGAUCCACUUUUUGACAGGAUGACCACCGGACUUCAGGGAAUGGCCAGAACAUACUUGCGCUCCUUGGAAAGCCGAAGGUGAGAUCAAACGGGCACCGAAUUCCAGUAACUCAACCAAACAGUUCCCUCUAUCGAGAAACUAAAAAAAACAAAGGACCUUUAAACUCAAAUGCUUUAAUACCAUAUAAUAAGAUAAGAAAUGAUUGGACAAUUUCUGUGUGUUUUCUCUAUGACAAUAACUGUGUUUAUAUAUAAAUUAUAAGGUUUUGUUAAAACAAUUUUUAAGAAUCCUCAUUCAAUCAAUUAGUAUCAAUUUAGUCUAUGAUUAUAUUAAUUAUGUACAGGUUAUAUUCACAUUUUAACAUCUUUAAAAAUUAAAAUUUUGUAAGUUAAAAAAGAAAUGAGUUUUUCCAUUUUAAAUAAGAAAUUGUAUUUAAAAAAAAAGAAUUAAAUUGAAUUCUUGUGAAAUCUUUUAUUCCAAACAAGAGUUUGUAAUAAUAUUUGUUUCACUUUGUAGCUGCUUUGGUUGCCGUGUAACUGAAGGAUAUGGAAUGACUGAGACUUCUUGUGUUAUAAGCAACGUAGAUGAGGGUGACAACCUAACUGGUCAUGUUGGUUCUCCUAAUCCAGCCUGCGGUGAGUUCUGUGGAGUAUUAUUACAGCCCAACAAGUUGGCUUCUCAUAGUUCAUCAUGUGUUCUUUUGCAUUGGGAUAAGGUCAUUAUUAUUUGUUUUUCUGUCUCAGAAAUAAAACUUGUGGAUGUUCCUGAGAUGAAGUACACGUCUGAGGAUCAGCCCUAUCCUCGUGGGGAAAUCUGUGUGAGAGGUCCCACUGUUUUCCAAGGCUAUCAUAAAGAUGAAGCACAGACGUACUCACCUUCCUGUGGUCUGGUAUUUUGUUAUUAAGUUGGUCAUGUACUGCAAGUCUCUUAACAAAAUGAUGUCAUGCAGGAGAGAAAUAAUUGAUGAAGAUGGAUGGCUUCACACCGGAGACAUAGGACUAUGGUUACCCGAGGGUCGUCUGAAGAUUAUUGAUAGGUGAAAUAGUCUUUGGUUGAAUUGUUAAUGAUUAUUGAAUUAACGCCAUAUUCUGUAGAAUCCCAUAAGCAUAGAAUCAUUGUACUUGAGCUUUGCUACAGAACUUAAGUCAUGUGGAAUUAUGCAGCCCAAAGAUCACUUACUUAGUGACUAUAAUUUGAGCCAUUUAUAUUUUGCUCGUGGAAAGAAUAAGUUCAACUUGACUGGGGUUUUAGUUACCAUUACACCAUCGGAAAGUAUUUCUAAGAUGCCAAUUUUUUAAAAAAAAACUUUGGUAAUCAUGGAAGCUUAGGUGCUUUUGCUCCUUUAUGAAGUGUGUAUUCAUGGAAAAAAAUUGUAUUUAUCUAUUCAGUGCUUUUUCUGGUUGGAGCUUGCACUUAUGUUUUGGAGCAUGUGUGGCUUUCAGCAAUUUUAAAACACUUGUAUGUCGGUGCAGGAAGAAGAACAUUUUUAAGCUGGCACAGGGAGAGUACAUAGCCCCAGAGAAAAUUGAGAAUAUAUAUGCUAAAUGCAAAUUUAUUGCCCAGUGCUUUGUGUAUGGUAGGCAGAUAAGUUCAAUUAUGGGACUCUCUCUACAUAUUCUCUGCAAGCUAAAUCUAAUAUUUGUAUUGUUAGGGGACAGCCUUAACUCCUCUCUGGUAGCCGUUGUUUCAGUGGACCGAGCUAUUUUGAAAGCAUGGGCUGCUUCUGAAGGCAUUAAGGUGGUAUAUAGUUUUAGAAAUUUGCAUCUGUAGGUGAAAUUUUAUUUUUUGUGUUCUCUUUUGGAAGUAAAAUUACAUGCAUGGUUGAUGUAUCUAGGGAAUUUGUGGAUGCUUGUAACUAUAGGCUAAUGGUUUCUUGCCAAUUUGUGAGUGUAGUAUGACAGUUUGGAGCAACUAUGCAAUAAUCCAAGAGCAAGGGCAGCUGUCCUCGCAGACAUGGAUGUUCUUGGAAGAGAAGCAAAGGUAAUUGAAUGAAUGAAAUUACAAGGCAAUCUGUUGUUGUUAUGUCUUGAAAUUCUUGCUUUACCCUUCAAUUGAUUGGCCAAAUUUCUGGCAGCUCCGAGGUUUUGAAUUUGCAAAAGCUGUGACUCUUGUGGCGCAACCAUUUUCAAUAGAGAAAGGUUUUUUGACUCCAACAUUAAAGGCAAGUGCUCAUCUCUAAACCUGUAAACAGCUAAAAACCGUAGGGAAAAAGACAAACUAGGCAGCUCCUUAUUGAACAUAUUUACUUUCAGAUAAAGAGACCUCAAGCAAAGGCAUUCUUUGAAAAGGAAAUAUCAAAAAUGUAUGCGGAGCUUGCCACAUCUGUUCCAUCCUCCAAAGGGAAGUUGUGAAGUUGACAAGAAAAGCAUAGAAAUAUAGAAGCGGUGCCAAAAUUUCACGGCCUCCACACGACAAUAAGAUCACCAUCUCCAUAUGUGACAUAGUGAAAGGCCUGGAGCUGAGCUCACUGUUGAAGCAUUCUGUACUACGUUCCCUAUUUGUUUUUUGUUUUUUUUUUUUUUUUUUUGUCUCUUGCUCUGUGGAAUAGAGUUAUUGUAGAAAGUCUGAUUAUUUUGUUGUGUUCCUCAGUCCAUCGAGGCUUUUACACAUAAUUUUGUGUAUAAAAUAAAGAGGAAAAUAACCAUCAGUGGCAGAUCCGAGUUUGGAUGUCGUUGACCAUUAAAUUCAUCUAAUUUCUACGUUGGUAUGAUUUAUCAGUAGAUGGGCAGGCCUACCAGUCAGCUUCCUGUCAGGAUCCAGAUUUCAUUUAUGUCCCACAAAGUCAGUCUACAUAAGGUCUUCUCAAUGAGAUUGUGUUAAUAAUUAAAAUCCUGUAUGAAAAACAAGAAUUCCCCAUUUGAAUUACUGGUAGACGUAACCAAAUUUGUUAGGUAAAGGGUCCUGAGUUGGUUCAAACUUAAAAUUUCAGAACUUUUUGUUGGAUGCCGCCUACAGAUGGCUCUACAAUGUAAUAAUGGUAAGUGAUUUAAAUGAUUGAAUAAAUAAACUCAAUUAAAACAAAACAAAUAUGAUAUGAAAGUUAUUCUAACUAAAUAAAAGAGUAAAGCAAAUCGUCCACGAUAUCCAAUGCAUCGAUUUAAAGAAAAGUUUCUGCUGUUUAUUGAACAGUGGAAGAAUGAUUAUUACAGGGAUCCCACUUGGGUUGGGUUUGAAGUGGAAGUGAAAUCAGCAAGCGCUGAGAUAUUUGGUUUGGUGGGUUGGAUUGGAAUCUUGCUCUACUUUCACUUAUUGUGGAUUUCAUUUCUAUGCUUAUACAAUCGGACAUAAUAAUGCAAUGUUGCCACUAGACUUUAUUAAAUAAAAUUAGAUGACUUUAGGGUUGUAAGAUUGUUGUCUGUCCACUGUUCAUAAGGUACAAAUCUUGUAUAUAUAUAUAUAUAUACGUACAUUCUUUGAAACGUGCAACUCAUGUGUAGUUAAUCUCCCCAUCAGGUGCCCUAGAGUUGUACACGUGGAUUCGAAUCUGACUGUAGCCAAGAGAUCUCCCAUACAGCUUGCUGUAGGAGAACGUAACCCCUCGCCCCCGAGCGUACCUCUGCUGUUUGCAUAGAGUUGGCAAAUGAAAAUUUAAGAUCAAGAGUCAAAUUUUAACAGAAAACGCUAGGACGAGAACGGAGAGAAGACGCGAAGUCACCGAGGAUUCUACGCCAUAGUCAGCCUUUUAUAUCUCUCUCGCGAUUUCUCGUCUCCAACCACCUCUUGAUUGCUAUCUUUCUCCUGUUUUAACGCAGUAAUUUUAUUCUUUUUCCAUUCUUUUAUCGGUAUAUGAUCUGUAUAUAUUCAUUCUCAAAUGGUGCACAGCUUCCAAUUCUCUGAUUUCUAAUUUGGUGCCAAUUAGGGUUUAGGUUAGGGUUUGAUUUCGAGGCAGAGAGAGAUAGAGAUCGAUAAUGUUAUCGAAUCAUCUGCAAGAUGGAAUAGAGACCGCUAAGCUAAUGUGGUCUAGGAUUCCAAAUUCAGAGGAUGGUCAGUUCGAGGGGGUUGGCCUCUUAAAUUCCAGCGAUGCGAACGCAGUCGAGAGCCUUGACUAUGAAGUUAUAGAGAAUUACGCGUAUCGAGAAGAGCAGGUUUGUGUAUGUGUAGGAUUUUUUUUUUUUUAAAAAAAAGAGAAAAUUGUUUACUGAUCUUAGUUCGUCGUUUGUGGAUUUGCAGGCGCAGAGGGGAAAGCUUUAUGUCGGUUAUUACGUGGCCGUGAAGUGGUUUUUUGCUUUGCUUAUUGGCAUUGGUAAGUGCUGUUUAGAUUUUGGGCUAGGAUUCAUGCUUAUUGAUUAGGAAAACUCGCCUGAUUAUAUUGCUAGUAUUACUUGUUUGGUUUUGCUGCUGUACAACUCUUUAUUGAUUACUGUUAAUACAUAUUACCAGCUGUGUGCUGUAUGGUCUAUUCAUAUUAGAAUUGAGUAUUUAUGAUGGAAAGCUAAAUUGGAUGAAACAUCUUACCCAGUGAAUAAGGAUAUCUUUUGGAUUAGUUUUCUCAGAGAUGGCUGUAACAUGACAUUCACUACUUGAGCUUUUAAUUAUAAAUUAGAGAUAAAUGAUCUAGGAUUAUAAACGUUGGGCAUAGUUUUCACAAGCUGUUCCCUUGUUAUUUUUUAAAGUAAGCUAGAGCCAUGAUGUGUACUGUCCAAUAAGAUUUCUCACCUAAAAGUAUUGCACUAUUUAGGCUGAAAAAGAUGGGCUUAACUUUUUGUAAUGGAUUGAAUUAGUCUCUUUUUGAGUGAUUUUAUUGUAAUACUUUAAUUUAUGGAAAGAAAAUUUUAGAGUUCAAAGAUAUAUAUAUAUAUUUUUUUCACUAAGGAGUUCAAGAUCAUUUAGCUAUAUAUCUGAUAUCUUUUUAUUGCUUUCAGGUACAGGAUUAGCUGCAGUUUUCAUCAACAUAUCUGUUGAGAACUUUGCUGGCUGGAAAUUUUCGCUGACUUUUUCUAUAAUACAAAAGUCAUAUUUUGCUGGCUUUGUAGUAUAUGUAUUAAUUAACUUGGUUUUAGUCUAUUCGUCUGUAUAUAUCAUCACACAAUUUGCACCCGCAGCCGCAGGAUCUGGUAUUCCUGAAAUUAAGGGCUAUCUGAAUGGUAAGCUGCACAUCUCAGUCAGCUUUGUCUCACUGUCACUGGUUUUGAGUUGUUUCAGCUGUCAUUCGUUAAGGUGCUGAUUGUUAUUAAACAUGCAGGAGUUGAUAUUCAUGGAAUUCUACUUUUCAGAACCUUGAUUGGAAAGGUAUAAUUGCACUCCUUAUUUCUUGGUUGAGAUUUUAGUUUACCUGGAUUUUAAUUUUACUUUCCUGUUUUAGAUAUUUGGAAGCAUUGGUUCUGUAGGGGGUGGUCUUGCUCUAGGCAAAGAAGGUCCUCUUGUUCAUACUGGUGCUUGUAUUGCUUCAUUGCUUGGACAAGUAAGAAUUUACUGCUUGAAUUUUACUGUGUUGCCUGGUCAAAUAUAAGUUUGAGUAACUUUUAGUGUUUGACCUACAAGUUAAGUAUUUCCUCAUCAAUUUAGGGUGGGUCCACCAAAUAUCAUCUGAGUUCCAGGUGGCUACAAGUUUUCAAGAGUGAUCGGGAUCGUCGUGAUCUUGUGAGUAACUUAUGCCUUCAAUGAGAUUUAAGCUUUAGCUUUUUUGCAACAGCAGAUUGUAUCUUUUCGAUUUGUUUGCGUAGUAUUAGAUAUUCUUGGCAACCCUUCUACAUGCCUGUAUCCUGGUAGUUCUGGAUUAUGUUAACUUGGACAUCUUUCUGUUUCUAUGGUCAUGUAAUUCUGAUCUCGCCAUUUCUUAAAGAACAGAGGUGGCUCACCUCUAUAUUACACUUAUUUUUCAUCUUUUUAAUGUUUUGAAAAAGGUGACCUGUGGAUGUGCAGCUGGAGUUGCUGCUGCUUUUAGAGCCCCAGUUGGCGGUGUAUUGUUUGCACUGGAAGAAGUUACAUCAUGGUAAGAUAUUUUUAUUUCUUGAUUAUAUAGUUAAUAACUUAAUUUAUGCUUCUAUGCCAAGUAUCAUUGGGGGGGAUUCAGUCAGUGUUGGAUGGCAUCAAAUUUACUGUCCUAUUCCUAGUAUUGUUUUUGUCUUUUCUUUUAGGUAUAUAUAUUACCGUAUGUCAGUGUUCUAUAAACAUUUACGUUUUUACAUGGUUUGGCUUAAUUUUAAAUUUGAAUGAUUCUUACAUUUAUUUCUGUUUUGCUAUUGAAGGUGGAAGAGUCAACUUAUGUGGCGUGUCUUCUUUACUUCCGCUAUUGUGGCAGUGGUUGUGCGUACUGCAAUGGGAUGGUGUAAGAGUGGAAAGUGUGGGCAUUUUGGCUCAGGUGGCUUUGUAAUAUGGGACAUAUCAGAGUUGAGAUCAAGACCCUUCUCUUUGUGUGUGUGUGCAUGGUUAUCCCUGCUGUGAGCUUUUAUUGGUUAUCUAAUAUUCCUAAGCCCCAUCUGUUAUUCAUUUUUUUCUUGACAGUGGGCAAGAGGACUACUCCUUUGGGGAAUUACUUCCAAUGGCAGUCAUUGGAGUUAUUGGCGGUCUACUUGGUGGGUAACCAUAUUCUAAUAUUACUAUUUCUCCUCUUUAAAAAUUGCAAUUGCAUAUAAUUUUUUAUGGGUUAUUUUCUUCUCUUUUUAAUUUUCAGGAGCUCUAUUUAACCAGCUAACACUUUACAUAACUCGUUGGCGCCGGAAUUCUUUACACAAGAAAUCAAUCCAAGUGAAGGUAGAAUUUAGGAUAAUCAUGGGAUGUUCAUUUUGUUUCCUGCUCCUGCUUGUGUUGAUUCUUUUGUUCAUGCACUGUUAUUUCUUGUUUUACUUCAUAUAUUCAAACUGGAAUUAUAAUAUUGUUACAGGUUAUUGAAGCAUGCCUCAUCUCUGUGAUUACUUCGGCUAUUUCUUUUGGACUACCACUUCUAAGAAAAUGCAGUCCAUGCCCUGAAGCAGAUGCUGACUCUGGUAUUGAGUGCCCAAGGCCUCCAGGAAUGUAUGGGAAUUAUGUAAAUGUAAGAUCUGACUUAGAAUUCACUCUAUUAGCUUUCCUUUUUCUGUAUUUUUUAAUUAUUUUUUUACACUUGGCACACUUGUCUAAGAAAUUUUCAUGAUUAUCCUGUUACUUGAGUGUAAUAGUUGGUUACAGUAUUUUAUGCUUUGUGGAUAUAGCUUUUAAGGCGUCCUUAUCUAUUUUAUGACAUAUGCAGUUCUAUUGUGACAAGGACAAGGAAUACAAUGACCUUGCAACAAUUUUCUUUAAUACUCAGGUUUCAUUAGGAUCCUAACAGCCUCUUUCUUGCUUUAUAUUGUAGUUUUUCACAUCGUUUCCAUGGUUUUUGUUUUACUACGUUUAUAUCUUGUUGCAGGAUGACGCCAUAAGGAAUCUGUUUAGUGCAAAGACCAUACAUGAGUUCAGUGCUCAAAGUUUAUUGACAUUUCUGGUAGUGAACUCCUCUUCCAUGAGAAACUUGUCUUGUCUUCUUUUUUUUUUCCACUGGUGCAAUUGAUUCUCAAGUAUUGAGCUUUCUGCCCUCUCUGGAUUAUGCUAUUCACUUUUACAUCAAUAUCAAUCUAUUUAUGGGCAAGUAACCUAGGAGCGUGUAUGAUCAUUUUUUAACAUCUAUAAGGUUACUCUAGUGCAGGUUGUUUUAGAUGAUGCAUAACAUAUAUUUUAAUUAAAUGACAUGUAAUUGAAUGAGUUGUUGAAUCUUUAUGAUAUUUGCAGGUAAUGUUUUAUACUCUGGCAGUGGUGACAUUUGGCAUGGCAGUUCCUGCUGGUCAGUUUGUUCCUGGAAUAAUGAUAGGGUCAACAUAUGGACGCCUUAUCGGCAUGUUUGUUGUUAAAUUUUACAACAAACCCAACAUUGAGGAGGGAACGUGAGUCUCUUGCUUUAGUUCUGUGAAAUUUUCAACAGUAAGCCAUGUAUUUUAUUGGUGUUGUUUAGCACUCAUCUUCAUAUGCACUCUCAGAAGCUUUGCUUUUUGGAUUGCAAAUAAACUAUGACCAAAAAAAGGUGGUUUCUGUGGAUUAAAAAAUUUUGCACUGUAAAAUUUGUCCCAUUUAUUAUUGCUUAACAUGUCUAUGGGACCUCUUCCUUCUUUGUUCGAGGAACUAUUCCUCUGAUAUUGUUAGCUUCUUACUAAAUUGUGAUGUAUGUAUCCUGGUGUAUUUCUAGAUAUGCUCUGCUGGGUGCUGCUUCUUUCCUUGGAGGUUCAAUGCGAAUGACAGUCUCAUUGUGUGUCAUCAUGGUUGAGAUCACAAACAACUUGAAACUUUUACCUCUGAUCAUGCUUGUUCUCCUUAUAUCAAAGGUAUGCUUUUGAAUUGCUUUGCAUAAUUAUUGAUGGAUGCUCUGUGAAGUUACAAUAGUCUUUCAUCACUGCAGGCUGUUGGUGAUGCUUUUAAUGAAGGUCUGUAUGAAGUACAGGCCCAAUUGAGAGGCAUUCCAUUACUGGAUACCAGACCUAAGUACCAGAUGAGAAAAAUGACAGCAAGGGAAGCUUGUGGAAGUCAGAAGGUUACUUUUAGUCAAAUGCUUCUCAUUUUUGUCCGCAUGUUCCCAAGGUUUCUGUUUCAGAUAUGAUCAUGAGUGUCCAAGCUUCAAAUAUAAACAUAAGUAGAAGCGUCCUCUGUAUAUUCUUUGACUGUUAUUUACUAAAUUUGAACACUUAAGCCAAUUUAUUCUUUUAAUGACUUUCUUGAUUCUUCUUCAUUUUCUAAUCCCUUUUGUACUGCAUAUUUUUUUGAACUCAUUGAUUGCUUUUGAUCCCAUCUUUUGAAGGUUGUCUCCUUUCCUCGUGUUGUUAAGGUCGCAGAUGUAGUUUCUAUUUUACGGAGCAAUAAACACAAUGGCUUUCCUGUAAGUUUUUCUUCCUUCUGUCAUAUAUUGUUUCUACUCAGGGUUGCUAAAAUAUAUGCCAAUCUUUUACAACACAGGUAAUUGAUCAUGCGAGAAAUGGAGAAACCCUUGUGAUUGGACUAGUGCUUCGCAGGUGCAACUCUUAAUUCACUUUUGGUUUAUGUUAUUUAUUUGUUAGAAGCGGAGGCUGUACAUUGCACUAGCUGAACAAGCUAAUUUUUAAUCUUUGGUUUUCAUGGAAGUCAUUUGCUAGUGCUUCUCCAGUCUAAGGGAGAUUUUCAGCAUAGUCCUUUGCCUUGUGAUCCUAGAGCUGGAUCCAGGUCAAUCAGGUAACUGGAGACUCGGUGAUAGUUCUUUUCAUUUUUAGUAUUAUUUGGGUUUGAGCUUCACUUGCUCAAGAUAGUCGUUUCUGUUCACUCAGGCACAGUUUCAGUGAAUUUGUGAAACCUGUUUCCAGUAAAGGAAUUUCUAUAGAAGACAUCCAUCUUAGUUCAGAUGACUGGGAAAUGUACAUAGAUCUUGCUCCAUUUUUGAAUCCUUCUCCAUAUGUUGUCCCUGAGGAUAUGUCAUUAACCAAGGUGAAUGGCAUUUCUUCUAUUCUUUUAUCAUGUUGCAACCUGUAAGUGUGGUUUGUGCAUCUCCAUUUUUGUAUGAUAAAUUAUGCAUUUUUCCAAUGGAACAGGUAUAUAAUCUUUUCCGUGAGCUAGGAUUGAGACAUAUAUUUGUUGUACCCCGUGCUUCCCGUGUGAUUGGCUUGAUUACCAGAAAGGAUUUGUUUAUCGAGGUAUGCUGAUGUCAUUAGCUUUUUAUGUGUUUUUACUUUAACUGGACCAUGUAACCAUUGCCUCUGAUGGUUUGUAUUGUAGGAUAAUGAGGAUUCAACCAGUACGGAGCUCCAAUCAACUAGUGUAAGGUCUCUAUGCUGCUUUACUCGUGUUUAUUUCUAAUUUUCUAUACAUCAGAAAUUGUGAAUUUCUUUGAGGGCAAGAUAAAUCUUAUUGCUUGGGCACUAUCUCCAAUGUAUAAACAUCAAGUUUCUUUAGAGGCCCAUGGACUCUGUUGAUUAUUUUGGUGCCAAAUAGUCGCGUAUUGUGGCUGAGGCCCGAAAUUCAUAGAUGAAUAAUGGUGCCAUCAUUAGAAGUUUGCGUGGUAGACAGGCAAGAGAAGUUCUUGUGUCCAUGAAUUGGAUGUAGAAAGUGAUGGCAGAACUGGGUUUGGAUUUUCAGAUGACUUGCUAACUGAAUUUACUGCCAUUACUGGCAUAAACAUUGUCUGCAUAAUUAUGCUGGUGAAGUGUUGCAUUGCUUGGUUUAUCUUCAACAUCUUGAUUUUGUUUCAUUGAUUAUCUGGUGGCAGAGCUCCUCAUUUAGAUAGAAGAAUGUUCACUAGGAAUAUGGAUAUGGAGCGCCCCCUUCUCAACGGUCUUCUGGUCCAAAAUCAUGUGCCUGGUUGAAAAUGCUAUGCAAUUCUUGGGAUCAGAUUCCUGGCUGAUACAGCUUACUAAUCAUAUUCUUUCCAUGAUCCAAUUUUUUCCCGACAUCAGAUUACUUCUUCAGUAUCAUCUCCAAAAAUCAUACUAGUUUUGUAGGUUUUAUGUUGUCCAUUACUUGAUACUCCCUUUCAUACAGGGGUCAUGUACCACACCCAUCUAUUAUUUGUACUUGUGUCUGAAUGCAAAAUGAUGGCAAAGGAAGGUUGGAGAGGUUUUGGUGCAUUGUAAAGUCCUUGAUCAACGAAAAAUGCUAUACAAAAUAUUGCUACGCUUUAACGCAUGCAAUUGAAUUUCUUUUUAUAUUUGGUAAACCUGAAAAUGUGAAUAAUUAUGUGACUAUCAGUUUGUUAAUUUUAUUUAUACGGCGGUGAAUUUUUACAGGAUUUUAUUUUAUGAAAAAUGAAAAUUUUUAUAUUUUAUCCUAAAAAAAUCAGUUUAAGUUUGACUUGAGAUGGUUUUAUACUGGGCCUGUUCUGGUUUUGGUCGGUCCAAACCUAGAACCCCAUAUCAAAUUGCGGGUGAUUAUCCCAAGCGUUCAGCAUAACCCCUGGACUUCUGCGUUUCAAUUUUUGAGACCCAACAACUUUUCUUUAAUCUGUUUUCCAAACAAGUUGUAACUUAGUCUGUUGCAAGUAACGGCUGUUGAUUUGGCAAUUUACAAAGCUGUAACGAGAACCAGAAUUGUUGAAGUUGCCUACUUAAUCGCUUAUUUUGAUUGACAGGUGAAUGUGCAUUUACCGCUUUUCAAGAUCGUCCAUUAUUAUUCCUGAAUGGAUGGUAGCCUGGUAACGAAAAAAAUUAUAAUUUGUGGUUUUCAGUUUACAAUUUUUUAUUUUAAAGAUAAGUAGGAAAAAUAAUACCACAGCACUUACAACUGAAUAAUUUGUAAUUAAAAACCAGCAACAGCAACGAAUGCGCGUAAUUUUUUUUUUCCUCUUCAGAUUUUUGUUUCCACCAAUGGGUAAGUUGAUAACAUAAUCUCGAUUCUCCUUAAUUAAUUUCCCUUCAUCAAGUUUUAGCACUAUUGUUAAUAAUAAAAUUUAAUGGAAAAGUAUUUGUUAAAAUUAUAAAGAUUAUUUAAUAUAUUUCUGAAAAUAUAGAAAUUUAAUUUCACUAUAUCAUAAUAAUUUUGAUGAUUAAUAAAAAAGUUUUUUUAUAUAUAUAAUCGGCUUAGAUUUAAACACUAAUUUGAGAUCUAACAACAAUAGAAACGACUAAUAUCAAUAAACUAGAACCUUUUAGUGAAAGGCUAAUAUUAUUUUAGACCUAUAGUUUUAUCAAAAUUAAAUCAUCUAAACUAAAAAGACUUUAUAUUUUAUAAAAUUAUUUUUUUAUCAAAUAAAAUAUUAAUUAAUUUAUUUUUGUAUUGUCUAUAGUGACUAAAUAAUAUAUUGAUAAAAUAAUAUAUAUAAUUAAAAUUAUCAAGUAUAAAUAUUUUACAAUAUUAUUUACCAGCUUAUGGGCAAAAAGAAGCCAGAUGAGACUACAACUAUUUGUCCAAAUUAAGGAGAUACAGCCGGGAAUCUAUAACCUUUAUCUGUAAUGACAAUCUUAUCAACUAGUAUGAUUCCCUUGGUGUCAAAAUCCAGACAUGUUUACCUAAUUUUAAGAUCGAAGAAGUUACAAAAAGGAGAAGUUACAGUCAACUGGCUCUCCUAAGCAUACGGGAUGUCUAGUAUUGUUCCAAUCUUCAGUUAUUACAUGUCCUGUCUUUGAGUUUCUAAUUUUGACAGUUCUUGCAUUGUAUAUAAGCUCAUUAUUUUACGAGCAUUUUAGCAAAUACCCAGCACUUGCUUGCUUUGUUUAUCGCUUGCCUAAUCCUCGCUUAGUUUUAGUCAUCUCCUUCUGAAAAAGGUUUCUGGGGUUAACUGUUCUUUAGAGAAGCAAACAUGCCAGCCGUUGUAAUUGCUUCUGAUGGUGAUAUGCCGGAGUUCGAAGGCAAGAUAACAUUUACGGUAAUCGUAUGUGUGAUGAUUGCAGCUUGUGGAGGUCUCAUGUUUGGCUAUGAUAUUGGAGUUUCAGGUAAUACACUUUUUUUUUCCCCUUCAGUACGCAUCUGUUUGCAUGCGAACAAUCAAUGGUUGUUUUUGUUAUGUGGAAUUUGCAGGUGGGGUUACAGCCAUGGAUGACUUCUUGGAAAAAUUCUUUCCUGCUGUUUAUGAAAGAAAGAAACAUGCCCACGAAAACAACUACUGCAAAUACGAUAAUCAAUUUCUCCAAUUGUUCACAUCUUCCUUGUAUAUUGCGGCUCUAAUAGCCAGCUUUUUCGCUUCAAGAACUUGCACAAAAUAUGGCAGGAAGCCAACCAUGCAGCUUGCUUCUAUUUUCUUCGUAAUUGGAGUUGCUCUAAGUGCCUUGGGAGUCAACAUCGAAAUGGUAAUCAUUGGGAGAGUUUUUCUCGGCUUGGGAGUUGGAUUUGCCAAUCAAGUAAGCUGGAAUUACAUGAUGUUUUUUUCUUCUAAGAAUGUUUUUCCUUGAAAAAUAAUGGUUCGUAUGCUAAUUAAAAGAGCAAUAAAAAAUCAUUUCUACAGGCAGUUCCUCUGUUUCUAUCAGAGCUAGCUCCUGUCAAGAUCCGAGGAGCACUAAACAUUUGCUUCCAACUCUUUGUAACAAUUGGAAUCUUGAUUGCCAAUGUGGUUAACUACUUCACUGGAAAAAUCCAUCCACAUGGUUUUAGAAUUUCUCUUGGACUUGCAGGCCUACCAGCUUUAAUGCUAGGACUAGGUUCAUUAGUUAUCGUGGAGACUCCAACGAGUCUUGUGGAGCGCAAUAAACCAGAAGAGGGUAGGGCAGUGCUUAAGAAGAUCAGAGGCGCAGACAAUGUUGAUCUUGAAUUUGAUUCCAUAGUGCAUGCCUGUGAGAUUGCUAGGCAAGUAACCGACCCAUAUCGUAGACUCAUGAAGAGGCCAAGCAGGCCACCACUAGUGAUAGCCAUCUUGCUACAAAUAUUCCAGCAAUUCACAGGGAUCAAUGCCAUUAUGUUCUAUGCACCUGUUCUCUUCCAGACUGUAGGAUUUGGAGAUGACGCUUCUUUGCUUUCAUCUGUUAUAACUGGCAGUGUCAAUGUUCUAUGCACUAUGGUUUCAGUCGUCGCUGUAGAUAGAGCUGGCAGGAGGAUUCUGCUGCUUGAAUCUUGUGUGCAAAUGCUCGUUACCCAGGUUAAUUAAUUUCCAAGUUUCCCUUCCCCUCCUCUCUCUCUCUCUCUCUCUCUCUCUCAAUAGUAGUUAUUUCAAGUUCUCAGACAUUUUAUUAUAUAUGCAGACUAUCAUUGGAAUUAUCCUGAUGAAGGAUUUGAAAGCUACCGGCGAUCUACCAAGUGGAGAAGCUUUAAUUGUGGUGGUCAUGGUGUGUGUAUUCGUUGGUGGGUUUGCAUGGUCAUGGGGGCCUCUAGGUUGGUUAAUUCCAAGCGAGACUUUCCCUCUUGAAACAAGAACAGCUGGGUACUCUUUCGCUGUGAGCUCUAACAUGCUCUGCACCUUCAUCAUCGCACAAGCUUUCUUGUCGAUGUUGUGCAAAAUGCAAGCAGGGAUCUUCUUCUUCUUUGCAGCUUGGAUCAUUGUAAUGAUGUUGUUCGCCUUCUUUUUCAUCCCGGAGACAAAGGGCGUCCCUGUAGAUGUCAUGGUUGAUAAAGUAUGGAAGCAACAUUGGUUCUGGCGUAGAUUUUUUGAUGAAGAGGGAGAUGAACACGUCAAGGAACAGCCUGACCUCAUUCCUCCAUACAUGACAUGAACAUAAAUCAAAUGGAAAUCAACCAUCCACAGUAGAGAGACCAGAACCGUUCUGAAUUCAGAAUUACGUCAAUUAUGAAUGCCAUUGUACCGCGGUUCCAGCUUUUAAGGGGAGUUUUAGAAUAUAAUCCUGUAAUGUAAUCAAUGCUUAUUAAAAUUAUUGUACAUAGAAUUAUUGAUUCAAUAAAUUCUUCUUAUCUACAGUGAGGAAAAUUUAUUAGUUUUUUUGCACUUUUUAAUUAAAACAAAUAAGGGAUUCCUAAUGUACACUUAGGUCGUCAGCUUUUAGCCACUCUUUAACACGUAGGGAAAGUUGUACAAUUUUUUUUAACAUGUAAUUGAUAAAAAAAAUUUUAAUUUAACUUAAAGCAUUUAUUGAAAUUUGAUUCUAUUUACCAAAUAUCAUAUAUAAAUUAUACUGGUUAUUAUUAUUUGCCCUGAUUAAUUAACACUUUUUAUUUCUCUCCCCUCUCUUUCUCAUGUUUCUUCCUCUCCCUUCAAUCUUUUCUGAUAAUCCAACCAACCAUGGUGAUUAAGAAAAAAAGGUAGAUGCAUUCAUUUUGAUUUCAAGAUUGUGAAUUAAUGUUUGUCCAUUGCAAAAUAGAUAGAAACGGUCAGAGAGAGAAAGGAAGAGGGAGACAGGGGUAGGUGGGUGGACGGCUAAGUAUUAAUUAUUAAUUAAAUAUAGUAAAGAUCAUAAAUAAAAUAGUAAUUUAACUUUUGAAAAUUAUAAUAAAUAGUCUUUUUUUUUUCCUUCAUUAAUUAUUUUCCAUUUUGAAAUGUAUUGCUUCAGUAAGCUUCGGUCUUUUCAAUUGAAGUUGAUAAUCUCAGAUAAUUAUACGAGAAUGUAUAGAACAUAAUGGAAAUCCCUUUAGCAGCUCUCAUCAAUACACUUGAUCAAGAUCUAAUACAAUUAUUGUAUUACUAAUCGACCCAACUCAUGAGCCCUCUCAAAGUUUCACCAAGCACACUUCUACUUCUACUCAAGCAAAAUUGAAUACGAAAGUUCCCAGAACAGCAACUGUCAGAGCAAGCUUACCAAAAGGCUUGAAUAAAAUGGCACUACUGGGGGAAGGGCCUGGUACUCUGGCGGCUGGAACUGGAGGAGAGAGCGUAGAAGGAGGAGAAGAAGAAGAAGCAGGAGUUGGAGCCAUGUCUUCUUCGUUACGAGGCACGUUAAUGUCAACCUUCUGCCCAGCUUGGCAGUGGCCAGGGACACCGCAGAAAAAGAAGUGGUGGCCACGAGUUUUUAAGGUGAUUGAAUCGUUGCCUGUGGUAUAGGUUGCCAAAGGGGCAGAGGCGUUGCAUGCCUUGUACAUGGCGUGUGUUACUCGCAUUACGUUGUGAAACUGAGAGUACUUAAAAACUGAUUACAAGCAAAAGAAACAUGUUAGUAAGUAGAAGCUUUUAGAUACUACAACCCAUGAAUUACAAUAAAUUCUUAAUAUUAUAACUAAUUAGUGCCAAAUGUUUAAAUUUUAUCAAUGAUAAAUCUCCUCUAUUUAACAAUUUAUUAAUUUUGUUUACAAAUUAUAAAAAUUAAAUGCUUCUUUGUAUUAAUUUUUAAAAAAUAAUAAUAAAAUUAUGCAAUUUAGUAUUUCCUUUAAGAAUAUAUAGAAAUCUAUUUCAUCUCUCAAAAGCUAGUUUAAAAAGAGCCUACAAAAUUUCAUAAAAGUAUAUUGUCAAGUAUCUUAAUCGGAUUAUUAUAAUUUAAUCUGUCUAUACUUAUUUUUUUUUAAAAAAAAAAAAAAUACAGUGUUGCACUUUUUUUUUUUCUCUCUCGGAAAAACAAAAGUUUAUGUCCGAAAGUUUUGUAAAAAGCAACACUUUCAUGGAGAACAAAAAAAAAUAAACAUUUAAAACUAUACUAGUCUUUUUUAGGUAAUUUUUUUAAAAAACCUAUAAAGAGACUAAAGUUAGGAAAGACAAAUAUUAAGAUGCUGACUUUAAAAAGAAAAACCACUAAAGUUCACAAGUCUCUUUUUUAACCCCUUUCUAAAUGUUUCCAUUUCAAGAUUGUAGCAGUAAAAAAACAUCAUAUAUACGAUCAAUCGGCAAUGGAUGCGGACACUCUACCAAAAUCCCAUCAAUUGUUAAAUGGGUCCAAAGAAAGAGGGCCUAGCAGACAUUAUCAUACGAGUGCACAGAAUAAAAGAACAAUGCUUGUAGCUUGCAGCCUGUAAUAGUAUAAAUAUUGUCUGCAGCCUGCCAGUCUGUUUAUUGGCUUGGUUUGGUCUUUGGUGGGAUGGGAUGUGGACUUUAACAGUGAAAGCCAUCAUGCACUGAAGCAUGCCAAAACAGGUGGAGAGCUAUCGUGGGACAUUAUGUGGAAGCACUGUGGCCCACCGUAUCAUCAUUAGACCCUAGCAAGUGGAGACACUCGGUUCAUCAACACAUCAAAUAACAAGUGUCAUCCACGCUGUCUCCUAACCUAAGUUCUAUAGUGGUUAAGUGCAUUUUCCAGGCCAGAAUUCCAAAGGACAACCUCGGAAAUUGCCCAUAUCUCGGGCACUAUUGAGAUUAAAAAAAAAGUACCAGAAUGCCAGAAUUUUCUUUCUCUUGGGUCUUUCGGAUCGAAUCAAAGAGAACAUUGGGAAUUUGCCGGAAAGAAAGAAGCAUAUGAAUAUUCAACUGCAGCAGAUCAUCCACUGAAAAAAACCAUAAACUCUAACAAAGCUAGAGACGAGUUUAUUUGAAUUAAUUAAAGAACUCAGAGAUAAAGAUCUAAGAGAACAUUAGAAGCAAGCAUGGAAUGGACAUGGAAAAGGGAUCAAGACAAAACAAAAAUAAGAAAAAAUGAAAGCCAAUUCCCAAUGUCAAGAUUCGAAGAAAUUAAUUACCAAUAGUGUCGCCAACUUGAAAGGUCUUAGUAGCAGCCCACUGUUUGUAGUCAACAUUGCCAAUGGUGGUCCAACCAGCUGAGUCCCCAACUUUGUAUACAGCUGCAUCUAUCAUCCGAAACAACGCCAUCGCCAACAUCAAAACCACAGCUCUCUUGCCCAAAUCCAUGGCUGCGAACUGUGAUUUGAAGAUUCCUGAUGGUUUUCGUUCGGGUUCGGGUAUGAGAAGUGGAGAAGUUUUUUUUCCUACUUGAGGCUUUUAUAAAUCUUUUGGACUUACAUGGGUUUGGACGUUGGUCCUUGUAACAUCAUCAUUUAUUGAAUUCAGUUGAAUGAGACUUUGGUACCUUUACUUUUUAUUAUUUGAAAUUUUAGGAGCCUUUUUAUGGUAAUUUACAAAAAUGGUCCUGUUUGGGGGAAUUUGCUAAAUUAUCUGUAUCAAAAUUUUUUAAUGAAUUGAUAUGCUUUAUUUAAUUAUCAACAUAUAUGCUAUGUGAAGUAGCUGAAUUCCAAGUACCUUUAUAUUCUUAAUAGAAUUUUAAAUUAAGAACUAAAGCUAUGUUGUUGAGAUGCAAGAAUUAUUUUUGGUUGCCUUAAACAUUUUUCCUGCAGCUGCUUUUAUAACUUUGAAACGCUUGAAAGGAAAGAAUGUUGGGAUGGGAACUGCAAAGGAAAGCUGCUGGUUGCUGGCAUAUAGGUAUUUUUAUUGGUUAGUAUCAUAAUGGCCAUACCCACCAUAUUAUUUUUUCCUUCCUGUUCAGCAAUAAUUUAAAAUAUUGUUGCUUUCUACAUAUGGAUGAAGUAAGAACCUUGCUACCUACACUAUCCCAUAGCACGUUACAUGCACAUACCUGCUUUCUCGAUUAUUAUAUUUCUGCAUUUGUCUCCGCUAGUCCAAUAAAUUGGCAAACAUGGGCCGAUUGGGAUGCCCAGUUCACUUUGAAGAAAGGGCCCAAUGAGGCAUUUGUUUUCACACUUUGAAAAAGAAAAAUGGAUAUGCUGCGUAAAUAAUUAAUACAAAUUUACACAUAGAUACUACCAAUAGAGAAGAAACACGUGUUACAAAAACAUAUAUGGCAUAUCAUUCAUGAUAUUGUAUGUUUCCUAUACAUGUACAUAGUCUAAUGCGUAGACCAAAUGUGUCUUGUUAAGUUUACUAUACCUUAAAACCUCUCUAAAAUUCAAAACUGGUUGACAGGUUAAAUCCAAUCGCACAGCCAUUUUUCUGUGAUUUCUGAUCAUUAAUUUCAAUUCCUACAUCCUCAUUGUCAUCCAUGAAUCUCUUCCAGAACCAAUGCUGCUUCCACACUCUCUCUGUCAUCUCUUCAAUUGGAAUAUUUUUGGUCUCCGGUACCAGGAAAAAUACGAAAAAUGACAUAAUAAACACCCAGCUGGAGAAGAACAAGAAGAUGCCAUAUUUGAAGUGGCAGAGCAUGGAGAGGAAGGACUGCGCUAUAACAAAAGUGAAGAGCAAGUUGAUACAAACGGUGACACUCUGACCAGCUGAGCGGGUCUCCAAUGGGAAAGUUUCGCUUGGGAUUAGCCAUCCAAGUGGUCCCCAAGACCAGGCAAAGGCAGAGACAAAAGUGCACACCAUAAUAACCACCAAUAUUGCAAACCCACGAUGAAGAUUAACAGAGUGGUCUGUAACCUUGAUUCCUAGGAUUACUGCUAUUAUCACUUGAGAGACAAACAUUUGGAUGCCAGCCUCCAAUAGCAGCAUCCGACGGCCUACUUUGUCCACCGAGUAGAUGGAUACAACGGUAGAAAUAACAUUGACAGCACCUGUUAUAACAGCUGAAUACAGGGAAGCAUCGUUGCCGAAUCCUACUGUGUCGAAUAGAACAGGAGCAUAGAACAUUAUCGCAUUGAUGCCUGUGCAUUGUUGGAAGAUCUGUUUCAACCAUUCAAAUAAAGUUAUCAUGACUGGUAGAUAUUAAACAUAUUGUUAUAUGAUCUUUGGAUAAUUUAACUAUUGUGCUUCUUAACCAAUGUCUCACUGAGAACGUACUGACCUGCAAGGCUACUGCUAUAACCAACUGGGGGCGGUUCCUCCUCUUCAUGAGAUUCCUGAAGGGAUGCUUCACUUCUUUGGCCGCACGGCUUGCCUCAACAAGCUCCUGGAACUCUGGUUCAAUAUUGUUUGUGCCUCGAAUCUUUCUCAGGACUGAUAUUCCUUCUUCCAAACGGCCACGCUCAAUGAGGCUGUUAGGAGUUUCUGACACUAUGAGAGACCCUAAAGUCAAGAGAAGUGCUGGAACGCCAGCCAAUCCCAACGACAGUCUCCAACCCCAUCCUCCUUUAAUUCUGUUCAUCAACAACAGCAGCAGUCAGCAACAAUAUUAGAACUUAGCCGAAACUGGUGCUCGUAACCUAAAAUUAAUUAAGCCCAACUAGACAAAUCGUCUCAUAAUUGAUGCGUCGUUUUGUCUAAAUUAAUUUUUCUUAUUUGAACUCUCUAGAUAUGCCUUCUACGUUUCAUAGUUACUGGCCCCCAUUUCUCAUAAAUCAUAAUAUGAACUUUGCUCAGUAGAACAAUCUGAGCGACACUUGAUUAAACAGAGAAGAAAACAACUAUAUCAUAAUUUUCAGAGAGCAAAUAAUUAUUCUUUUCAAGUAUCAGAAGCAGAUACAGAACCACUGUUGUCAAUAGUGGGGAAGGCUGGAUAGAAACAUGCAAAAGAGGAGUCGUCAGCAGAAAAUGAACAACAAGGCGAAAAAAUAAUUUUCAUUUUUUUGACAAUCCCCAUAAGUGAUACGUGUAUUGUGACUGUGGGCAUCGUGCUUAUAAUAUUCUGGGUAACGGCGACUAAGAAAAAUUAAUUAUUCUACAAGAAUAUAACUUAUUUGUUUGUUUCCUCGCUAGAAUUCAGGUUCCUUUCGCAAGGAGAUAAAAAUAAAGUCAUUAAGAGAAAGAACUGAAGCUUACUUAGCUGUCCCGUAAUUGACAAGGUUAGCAAAAAGAAUCCCGAUAGUGACGUUAAGCUGGAACAGGAUGUUUAGGCCUCCACGUAUUCUUGUGGGUGCUAUCUCUGAUAGGAACAGAGGCACAGCCUGUUCAAAUUGAAAUUUUAAUCAUCAAAUAAACAAAUCAACUUAUUUGUCGUUGCUUAACAAGUAUAUAUAUUCCUAUGAUCUUUAUUAAUUUCAUAUGCAUUAUUAUAUGAGAUUUUCUUUGUCUUACUGAAAUAAAAUCAGAUUUCAUGCUUCAAAGUCAAACGAUGGUUUGAAGCUCAAUUGAUAACUUCAACUUUUAUACUUCGAAGACUGAUCUUAAAUUAUUUGACCCAAAAUUUCUAAACUUUCAACUCAAAUAAUACUGGAGUUACAAGACUUCAUAACUUUGAAAAUCCUGUAAAUAUAACUGAACUAAAAUUUUAUUAAUUCAUAUCUUGCAUUAUUGAUCAAGUAUCUAAUACUAACCUACACAAGGAAAGACAAAUCCUCCAAAUUAUAUCCUACCAUUCAUUUUUAAAUUGAAGGGCAGCUAUUACGUGUGCUUUAUGUUCAUUUUCAGGCAGCUGAAAGGUCCAUGAAAAGACAAAAAAGAUAAGAUAAAAACAAUUCAAAAAUAUGUCUACAGCGCAAGCGAAUUAAAUGGUCUAACUCUACAGCCUUGGCAAUUCGCCAUCACGUUAUUCGGGGGGACAAAAAAAAAAAAAGAGACUUUUCAGAGGAAAAUGAUUCUCAAAAGCAAAAAGGAAGAUACAAAGAAACAAGUGGGUUUUGCAAGCAACUUUUUCCGGACAAAUCCAACCAAACAUCUUUUUCAUAUGAUGCUUUCUUAAACCAAGCCAAAAGAAACAAAAGAGUUCUUUAUCACAUGUAAGAAAAGUUAAAAACCACAUUUAAAGCCCGGAAGUUAACUUAACAUAUUCAAGUCCUCUAAGGCUGAACUACCUGUUCUGCUGUUCACCACACUCCACACAGUUUGUAUUUGGCUGGCUGAAAAUUAAAGCCUUCGGUAAACAGAAAACAGGCGUAUCCCAAAAAUUUUCUUUUAGUGUUGAGCUGUGCUAUUAUUCAUGUGGCACUCUCCAUAAAAAGGUUUUUAAUAUGAUCUACUAAAUGUUAUAAAUUAAUUUGUAAGAUUUAAGAAUAGAUCUUCACUAAUGUUCGUUAAAUCAUAUUUUAAUGAAUUAAUAUUGAAGAGAUUAAUAAUUCAAAUAAAUAGAUUAAAUUAGAAUUUUAGGAUUUCUUAAUUAUUAUAACUAAUAGAAAUACUUUUUAUUUAAAAUAUGAUUGAUAAAUAUAGAGAAAAAAAAAACUACAAGUUGAAAUCCUAAGAUUAUCACCUUCCUCAGAAAGCACCCAAACAAAAUGAUCAAUUCCCAUGUUCCACUGUUGACUUGAUUUUGUGAAAAAUGACAAAUACGCAUUAUUUUCCAAUUUUGACUAGCUAGCUAGGUUCCUGAUUCUUGGAAAAAUAAGUAAGAAAUAAUUGUGUAAUAAAGAAAUUAACCUGAUUAGCAAAACCGACACCACAGCCCAGUAAAAUCCUGCCAAUGAUGAGCAUGGCAAGGUCUUGAGCUGCAGCAUUAAACACCACACCAACAAUGAAGAAAAUCCCAGCAAUCAACAUGGUUGGUCUCCUGCCUAACUUUCUAGUGGUGUAGGACGCAAAGAAAGUUGCUAUUAAGCCAGCCAAGUAGAGUGAAGAUGUGAACAAUUGCAACCCUUGGUUAUCAUACUUGCAAUAGUUGCUAUUGAGAGUAGGAUCCUUCGUCUUGUUAUACACAGUGGGGAAGAAUUUUUUCAGGAAAUCGGGCAUCGACGUAACUCCCCCUGCAUCAUACAUCGAUAAGUAAUUAGUUUCAUAUAAAAUCUUUAAAUAACAAUUUUGAGGUUUUCUUUUUUUUAAAUUUCUUGGUUGAAGUGUAAUCGAUAACAGUCAUAACAAGCUUCAAUAUGGAUUCAAAUUAUUCAUCAACUUCUGACUUAAACGAGCAGCUACAGAGAGCUUUUUUUGGGUCAGGGAUUCUCAUAUAUUCUGACCAAGUAUAUUUUUUCUGAUUCCGAGACUACCCAUAUGUCAUUCUCAUAAGCACAGGAAUUAUAUAGUAAUCUUAAAGGCAACAAGACCAUGUCGGCAUCGUGGAGCUCCCCUCUGACGGGAGGAAAGUUACUUUCUUCCUUAUUUUACAAUACUUUUCCAUUAAAACCUCAAAAACUUUAAAAAUCAAAGUAAACGAAAAUAAUAAUAAUGAUUAUAACAAUAACAACCUCCAUUUCAAAAAAAAAAAACAAUAAUAACCUGAAACUCCAACGUCGUAACCAAACAUGAGGCCACCGGUGGCAGCCAUUAUGCAGGAAAUGAUGACGAUCGGCGUUAUCUUAGCCUCGAACUCCACAUCUCCGGACGGCGCGGCAGCGAAACCUCCAGCGGGCAUGAUUGUGGAUCAAAAUCGAACAAAAACUAAAGAGAAAAUCUCUUAUAUAUGGGCUUUCACAAACUACUGGGCACAACUUGUAUUGUGAUGAAGAAGAUGAUGAUGCAAAUAGGUGCAGACUGCAGGGUUUAUAUAGACGCGAAAAAGAGUAGAAAUGACAGUGUACGAGUAAUGGAUGGCGUUGGUAGGACAGCCUUCACCCUUCAGAUCUUUCCACGUGGCUAAUCCUAUUUUUUUAUAUACAUAAAUAGUUUUUUCUACGGCGCGUUUCUAAUCAAUCAACGGCUCUUAUUACAUCUUAAGCUCAAAUUUAGAUAUGGAUAUAGAAUUUCUUUUUUUUUUUAAUCAUCGUGUGUGCGAAAUGAAACUGACGUGUAGUUGAAUUUAUUUGUGAGAAGAAGGGUUUAAGUUUAAAGAUUAAAUGAAAUGGUGACAGAAGAAGUUAAAUAUAAGAUAAAUUAAGAAGGACUAUGACUGAAAGUUGUGAAUUUAAUUGAAAAUUAAAUAAAUUGAUACCAUCUCGUGAAAGUAAUAAAGUAACUACGUAAAUAAGCGUAUAAUUCAAUAAUUCCACUUACAUAAUGGUUUCAUUUAGAAUGGUUUCUGAUAUUCUUAGAUUCAGAUAAUAAAAUUUAUAAUAGUCGUUCAAUGGUUUCAUGACACAUAAUGGUUUUUUUACUAUAGUGUCAUGUGCCUCUAUUAUAUAAGUCUCAACAUACAAAAACGUCAAACGUCCUAUUUAUGUUAGGUGACUAUUUAAUUUUCCUGACACAUGUAAAAGCAAGGCUACGAAAUGAUUGGACUUACUGUCCCUCUCACGUCACAUCAUCGGACUGAGUCUGUAGUGAGUGGACUUAAAUUUAUGGGUGAUCUGAUAUAUUCUAUGAAUCUGAAUCAAAACUUUGGACUUAGACUGUUUUUUGAGGUCCGGCCUUAUAACGAGAUGAUGAAACUCAGCGGUGAUCAAUUUUUUUUUUUAAAAUAAUAAUAUUAUUUUUUAAAAUUUUAUUAAUACUAUUAAUAAUAUUUUUUUUCAUAUAUUUUUUUUUCACAAUUUUUUCUAUCUCUAUGAUAUAUUUAUAAUAAUAAUACUAAUUCUACUGACUAAAAGAUGUAAAUAGUAUUUUUAUUAUUAAUUUAGUGAAAAAAUAUCGAUUUAUAUUAAUUUAUGACACAUUUUUUAUUAUCAUUUUAUAUUUAAUAGUUUAUUUUAUAUUAAAUAGUUUUAUUUUAAAUUAUUAUAUAAACUAUUAAUAUAUAACAUUUAACUGUUAGUGAAACAAUUAACUGUCUAUUAAUAAAAUAGUGAAAGGGUGUUCAAAAUUCAAAUCACACAUAUAGUGAGAAUGCCUAACAACCAGCUUUUCCAAAUAUGAUAGGAAUUUCCAUCAGCUGCUUUAACAACAAUAUUUUGAACAAGAAAAGACAGCAAAUUCAUCAGAAUGCUAAUAAUAUAUGGGAUAAAUUUUGAAUUGCCUCGUGCAAUUCCACAUUCAAAGAAGCCAUCAAUUGCUCCAAUGAAAAAAGAAAAAAAAAAUUACAAUACAUAUGUUAUCAUUGAAUUAAAGUCUAUUCCCUCAAAUUUGCUUUGUAAAUUCCAACCAGUUUUUGUCAUCUUAAUAUUUAGAUAAAAUAAAAUUGGACUUUAUAUGAGGUCUUUAAUCAUUGAAUACAAUAGAUUUUAGGAUAAAAAUAAAAUAAAAUAAAAUAAUGUUUCCCUGCUACUAAUAAUUAAUUAAUUACAUGAGAUAAUGUGAGAUAGACAAUGACAUCAUUGGAUGAUAAAAUGUCUGGACUUUGGAUUUUUGGAGACACCAAUUUUGACCAGGUUUGACUUUUGAGUGGUCCAAAACCCUGAAAACAGCGUUACAAGGAGUAAACCAGAAAAUUGUUAUCUACUUAUAAAACAUUUUAACCGCACUGUUAUUAAAAUAAUAAAUUCCAUAAAUUGUUAAAUAUUUAAUCAGUUUUAUUUUUUUUUUAACGAUAUAAAUUAUAUUCCUAGGCCAAGAUAAGAAUUAUAAGGCCCAAAGUUUAAAUAUAACCAAAGGCCCCUAGGGUUUUAAAAAUAAAAUACAAUUAAUUAAGUCAAUGAACUCUAGGACUUAACCCUGGAUCGACAUUCCAAAUUUGUUUCACGCAACACAACACUGCUCCUCCGUUGCCACAAGAAUUUCCAAUCACCAUGAAGCCCAAUUAAUUGCGCAAAAGAGCCAUCUCUUGCAAUCAUAGGUAUAAAAUCAUAAGAGCCAACUGAAGAACAUAGGACAAAUAGCCAUCAUAAAACUAAAAACUCCAAAGCAAACCAAUAGAUCUUUUUCUUGCUUCUAAGAUUUAUAUACAACAGGAGGAAAAAUAAAACUUAUCAAGAUUAUUUAUUCACAAUUCAGUCUCUACCAGAGAAAGACUAUUUCAUGUCCAAAUAAAAUAAAGGGUAGUUAAAUAACUAAUAGAAUAAGUAUAAAGUUUUUCGGAGAAAUAUUAUUAUCAUUUGAUUCUUUUGAUAUCUCAAACGAAAUGAAAAAAUGAGAAAGGUGGGUUUUAAAGUAAACUCAUUUUCUUGGCUGAUGCCUUGGUAAAAUUUUAACAUAAAAUGACUAAAUUAAAUAAAAUGUUUUCAGCCAAUGAAUGAUCAUGUAGUAUAGUAUGACUCAUUCAUCAUCGAUUGACGGAUCACACAUGCACAACCAAAAAUGCUUUUUUUUUUUAAAAGAAAAAACAUAAUGGAGAAAGGUAAGGUAUACCCAUAGUUUAAAUGUGAUUAAACUUUUUAUUUUUUAGAUAACAAUGCGCUUCAUAUAUCAUUAAUUAGAGAAUAUAUAAUUGUAUUAAUUCAUAAAUAGUCUGAAUUUGUGUCAUAGAAUCGGGCCAGGGCUUAGAUGGAAUUGUGAAGCAUGGUUAUGGGCUCAGGAAGAGAGGUGUCAUUGGGCCAAAGAACAAGGCUUAAUCUAUCCAUUUUGUUAUUUACCAUUUAUGCUUUUAGUUGUUAUUUACUUAAUGAGCUGAUGGAAUAUUCCUAGCUGUCAAGUUAGUUAGUAAUAUGAUUAUAUAUGAGUCAGUACUGAACGGCAUUGUCAGUUUUUUGGAUGAAUACAAUUAUUCUCUUUUCUCAUCUCAAAUUCUUAUCUUAAUUUCUUCUCUCUCUUUUCUCUUUCUUGUUCUACAAUCCUUCUUAAUUUACAAAUCUAUAACAAUUUGCUAGGCCAUAAAGAUAUAUAUAUUUUUUUUACUUUUUUAAAUGGGUCUCACAAUUUGUGAUUUUAAAAAAAUUUAUGUAAAAUAAUAAAAAAAAUAUUAAGAGUCUAUUAAAAAUAUUUUUAAUGAAAAUUAGCCCACAUUCAAAUUAAAUCUGAAAAUUUAGAGUUAAAAUUUUUAUAAUUGAAGAUGUAAGAAAAAAAAACUAGUGAAAAAGCUUAAUUUAAACAACUAUUUGAAUAAAAAAUGCUAUUAACCUGAUAUUAUAAUAUGGGAAAUAAGAGCAUGGGCCACUCUACACUUUUUAAAUAAAUACUAAAUUUUUAAUUUAUUCAAUUUAAUUUUAAAUUCAACCCGUACGACACUUAUCUCACCUAAAUUCCAUCUUUGUGGAAAAGCAAUUGCCCGCAAAAUUCGUCUGCCUCCCCCGCCCCUUGACACCAAAUAUGAAUAAUGAGAACGGGGAGAGCAAUCCCUACUACAAUAUAUUUGCGGCUAAAUUGAGUAUGGACCUGGCUUAAGGCCCACGACCGUUUAACGGUUUUCUUUCCUUUUGUUAUUUAAUUAUUUCUUCCGAGUGGUGAGUGGUCCAUGUACCUGCUUCAUUGUUCAGCCCCACUUUCGGUUGGUCUUCCCUCUUUUGAAUUUAAUGGCUAAUUUAUUUUCAUUAUAUAAAAUGAUAAAUAAUAUCUCGUAUAUAAAAAUAAUAAAUUUCUAAAAGUACACAGUCUCUGAGAAAAUUGGGAGAUCAUUGGAUCGAAAAAUCCCAUACCCAAUUGCAGCUAUUGCUAAAUCAUUCAUCCAGAGACGGGAAAAAAAUAAUUAGAAAGAUAAUUAUGUAAAAGAAAAUUUAACCAAUCACCACUUGCCACAAUCCUAAAAACAAACCAUUGAGGGAGACAUGAUAACAAGCCAAAAUACCACAACACUGCACUUUCUCUAAGUGUUGCACGUGGUUUCAAAUCCACGUGUCACACGAAUGUCUCCGAUCCCUAAUUUCUCCUUUUUUACUUUUAUUUUUUUUUUAAUUUUCCAGUAAUACAAGCUUGCAUUUAGUGAUUUUACAUAUAUUUUUUUCUAAAUUUCACAUUUUUAUUGCAUUUAACAAGAUCUAACAUCUAGUAUGGUAACGGCACAAUAUUUACAUUUUAAAGGACUAUAUAUUUAGAUAUCAAAAUAUUUAUUAAUGCAAUAUUAUAUUCAGUGUAAUGAUAAAAGUAAUAAUCAUAUUUUAAAAUGUCAAUGUUACAUAUAAAAAAAAUACAUUUUUAAUAAUUUUAAUAUAAUUAUGUAAAAUUAAUUAUAAUUUAAUUAAAUAUAAAUUUAAUAAAAAUGUAAUUAUUAAUUAUGAAAUUUGAACUUAUUGAUUUUAUUUAAUUGGAAGUAUAAAAAAAUCAAUUUCUAUUUUUGUAACAAUGAAGAGAACUAAACGCAACAGUAUCUUAAAAGACUCAUAUUUAAUCUAUUUUAUUUAGAAAUAAAAAUUUCAGGAGGGAACUGUAGCCCAUCAGUAGACUAUUUCAAAAAUUAAAGAGGUUAAAUCAAACCAAUAACAAUCCAGAGCCCAACCCAAUCUGAAAGGAAAGUAAACGAAGCGCAACCCGCAGCCCACAUCGGCCAACGAUCCAAACCGAUACAGGAUGCACUGGGGAAUCGUUCCACCGCUCGCAGCCCAUCGUUCCAACAAGUCAUCAUGAAAGUUAGGAUUGAUGGCUUCUGAAUUUAUAAACUGAGUGCGAAACUGUGAUAUUUAAUUAGAGAUUAAUUAGUAAUUUCAAUUUAUUAUAUAUGGGUAAUAUAAUUAUACCCCAAUAAAUAAAAUAAUAAUGUUAGGUCAAAGAAAUCCAAUCUAUUUUUUUGAGGAUGGGCUUCUUUAAAAAAUUAAUGUUAGGUCUUAUUUGUAGCAUUGAUAGGAUCAUUAUUAUAAGACAAUACCAUACGUUGAUUAUUAUAAGAAAAAACACAAAGAAAAUGUUGCCCAACUCAUUGUAUCAUAACCACAGCCUUUGUCUCACUUGCGAUUUUAAAGUUUAGAUGAAAAUUCGGUUUUUUUUUUCUAAAUUUAUUGAGAUUAAACUUUAAUUUCCCCUUUCUUCAAAAAAGAAAAAGAGAUUCAAAUAUUAAAUUAAAGAAAAGUGGGAAAUUUCUCAAAUGUUUGUCUUUUUUUUCACCUGUCAAAGGUGUAAACAAAUAACCAAUAUUUAAAAAGAAAAUAACUAAAAGAAUGCAAUAAAAUGUAAAGUGGGUCCACAUGACUUGCAUGCCAGCGUAUAAAUAUUUGGUGAUCAAUUCAUUUAUUUAUUUAUUUUUUGAAAUAGGGGUGGUAGUAGAACCUUUCACCUCACAAGAUUAUAAGGAUGCACUUUUCACCAGAUUAAGUCUCAGAGUCCAAUUCAUUUAUUUAUUUUAAAUCGUUCCAUUCAGGUAUUUUUUUAAUAUAAUGUAAUGCACCCAUAAUUUUAGUUGCCAUUAUAAUAAUAAUAUAUCUUACGUAGCUUUUUAAAUUAGAUAGCAAUACCAAUUAAACAAUAGUCUAUAUGAUAAACAUUUCUUAGUUGUUUUCCAAUUUUUAUUAAGAAAUGUUUCUCAUAUCUUAUUCAUCCACUAAUUAAAUAGCAAGUGACGAGUCCAGCAAGAAAUGAGAUUAAUAUAUAUUAUCUUUUAUAUUACAUCCACGCAUAUUAUUUUAUUAUUAAAGUAAAUAAAUUUUCCUUUUCAAAUAUAUAUUAAAUUGAGUAUAAUUUAAAGUUAGUGUAUUUUUUUUAUAUCAAAGGAUAGUAUUUUAAUACACAAUUUCUAUAUAAAUUAAUCAACAAUUUCUACACGUCAGCAAUAAGUUGCCACCAUCUCGCGAAUGUGAAAUGAAGGGCAACGCAAAGAAAUAUAAUUUCUAGAUGAGAGAGGGAGAGGGCAGCUAAUGGGUGCGGGGCCCACGCUCCUUGGAAGUUCGUGACCGUGACUCGAGUUUCCAAACCAGUCCUUUUUUUUAUUUUAUCCGUCGGAUGGAAUGCGAUCAACGGUGGAGACUGCCCCAAAAUGCAUCCAAGACUAUUGGUUCGGUGCCAGCUCGGAUUUGUUUGUUGGUUGGAAUAUGAGGUUUGGGAUUUUAUUUAAAUGAUGCUAUGGCCACGUCAGAUCGGGAUCCAACGGCAUAAAUGCUUCAUCUGACUCGCUGUGCCAGAUCGGAUCCGUCCAAUUCCCCAAAUUCGGUUGCUUUCACGUGGACCCACUUGUCUUUUUUGGAAAUAUACUGUAAUUUAAUAUUUUAUUAUUAAUUAAAUCUGAUGAUUAAAAAAAUAAGAAAAAUAAAGAAACGUGGAACCGAAAUAAUGGAUUUGACCGGUUGGAACGAUAUUUUCUGCGGUCACCUAGAUUCCUUGUGAACGUCAUGUUGCUUUUACCAAGGUCUCGGUUACCGGCUAUAGCCAGUCACGACAUCUCCGUAGGAAAUUCAAGGGUAUAAUUAUUUUUUCUUUUGUUUCAACUUGAUCGCGAUUCGUGGGUAACCUUCUCACUAUUCGUAUGGUAUAGUACGAUUCCAAUAUUUAAUUAAUUUGGCAGGUAAUUAUUUUUUAUUUGUUAGAAUAAAAUAAUAAUAAUAAUAAUAAUCAAAUAGGCAGUAGCGAGGGAUGAACUUGGAAGCUUGAGGGUUAAGGAAAAAAGCUGACACGUGGUGAUAUUAUACAGAAAAGUUAAUAGUGCACGGAGGCCAGAUGUUUCAACGGUCCAGAUUGUGCCAUGCUGGUUUUGAUUAGUGCCAUCCGUUGGAUUGAGUUUUCAUCGAACGUCUCUGAUGAAUAUAUAUGUAGUAUAGCAAACAAUCAUGGCCGUCCAAUUAGGUCGAGAGUGGGUUUGGCUGAAAGUAAAAUAGCUGAAAAGAUGAGAGAAGAAGAUGCGAGCACAAAAAGAGGAGAGAGGAAGAUUUAAAGAGAAAGAGAGAGGAGCAAGGGGCGUAGGGAGAGGAUAAGUGAAAGCAAAAAUCUUUCAACUCUUAUUUUCUUGAAUAUCGUUUAUCAUACAGAACCAGCUAAGAAAGCUGAAUAUAGUUCUGAAUCUGCAAUUCCGGUGACCUACUUUACGUUUCCGGCAAACAAUGCUUGGUUACCGGUGAUGAGAGAUAAAAAUAAUACCAUUCUGUCUACAACGGAUUUCUUCUUUCGAAAAUUAAAACAGAGAUGGAGAGAAAUAGGGAAGCUAGAAGAGUAAGUAUGGCCGCGGCCAAUGGUUUAGCACCUAGAAGACGACAUAGAAGCAGCAGCAUAAGAGAUUCCCCAGGUUCAAAAUUUUUAUCAGAUCUAGCUAUUUGAUUACGAUGAAACGCCGUUUUCUGAAUUAACUUUUGCUGGGUUAUUGUGUCAUUGCAGAGGAUGAUGGGCCGGUGGAGUUGCAGGAAACGGCGAGGCUACGAGAUCGAGGGACUGGGAAAAAGGAUCGAGAUCGGGAUAGAGAGAGAGAGCGAGACCGAGACCGGGACCGGGACCGGGACCGGGAACGUGACAGAGAGAGGGACAGGGACAGGGACAGAGAUCGGAUGAGCAGCAGGGGCAAGAGAAGAAGAGGAGACAGGUUGAUGCACGGGAGCAAUAGAGAAGAUGGUGGCGAUGAGAGCUCAGAGGAGAGUGUAAAUGACGAUGAGGACGAUGAAGAUGAUGAUGGAGGUGGUGUUGGUAGCUCCAUGAGGAUGCUCCCACCAAAUCCUUCAUCCCUAUCUUCAUCUUCUAUGUCUAAUCAUCACCAUCGGAAAAGCUUCCCGCCGCCAGCGAAAGUUUUUAGAGCCGCGCCGGCGACGGCCCUAUGGAAGGCACCCGAUGAGAUGAUUGGCGUGUCGGUUCCUAGAAAAGCUCGGUCAGGUUGAGAUAUGGAGAGAUUCAAAUAGAAAAAGAUGUUGAUUUUAGUGGAUGCUUUAAUUUUCUCUAUUCUACCUUUGGUUAGUAGAUUUAAGAUUAUUGAGGUGUUUUUUCUGCUGUUUUAUUUUGCAGCUUCUACUAAGAGGUCACAUGAAUGGGCUUCAAGUUGUGGAGUAGGUAGUGAGCAAAUUCACCGGCAAGCUUCCACGUCUCCGGUGAGAUCGAGUGGACCAAGCGUUGCAGCGAUGUUGGCUUCGGCGUCCGCUUCCCCUGCUCCAGUCUCGCCGUCUUCUUCUAAUGCUUCGAUUAAGAAGAAGAUGGUGAGUCCUUGAUUUCUCAUCAUCUGGCAUCUGUUCUCUGAAUUUUGAUUUUUUUUUUUCCCUUUCUUUUCAGUAACGAUUAUGUUUUGCCAUUGUAGAAGCCUAAUGGCCCCAAGCAGAGGCUGCCAAAAUCUUGUACUAAGUUUACUUCCUCAGCUCAGGAGGAGAUUGAAAUCGAGAUCGCUGAAGUGUUGUAUGGAUUAAUGAGGCAGCCUCAAGUACCUACAAAACCUGAAAUUGUUGUUGCAAAUGAUUCAAUUAAGUUUGAUUUGAGGGAAGUGAGCAAUCAUAAGUCAACCGUUGAUGCCAAAUCCAGAGUUUCGUCACCGAUCUCCAACUCACCUUCCACCAUACCUCAUUCUUCUUCAAUUCCUCCAACUAAUUCUAGCUCAUCUGCCACUCCCAUGUCUGCAACAGGUAAAGUUGCUUCAGCGAUUGAGCCACCCAAAGCUCAAGCUGACUCAUUUUCUUGACUCCUCCUGCCAAUGCUCUCACUAGUUUUUAAGAAACCGGAAAAGGGAAAAAUUUGGGAUCGAAGCAAGAUUCAUUAUUUAAAUUUCGUCUUUCAUGCAGCAAUUUGGAUUUUGGGACUUCGCUGAUGGUUUCAUGUAUUUUUUAACAUAAAUAUGCAGCGCCAAAGAGAAAAAGGCCGCGACCAGUCAAGUACGAGGACGAGAAUCCAUCAGUUUAUCAUGUGCGGAAUAGUUCCAUUUCGUCGACAAUCAAGGUAGAUAUCGACCAGCCUCCCAAAAUCGAAACUUGUUCUCCCAACUUGGAUAAGAAUUCAGGAUCCGCAGCUGAAAAUGGCGUGGUUCCGCAUGAUACCCCAUCUAGUCAAGCUGUGCCGGUUCCUACAGAAGCACAGCCGCAGCAGGAGCAGGUGCAAGUGAUGUCUGAGAGUAAUCCGUUGUUGGAUUCAAAACACUGCGUGCAAGAAUCGGAGAGUAAGGAUUUAGAUGUGAGCAAAGAGGAGCCUCGAUCGCCGAAGAGAGAAUCUUCUCAAGUUGGUCUUAGAUUGGAUGAUCGUGAGAGUGUGACAGCGACUAAAGCGUGAGUAUCGAAAAAUAGAUGUCUUUGUUGUGAUUUCGAUGUUCUCAGUAAUUUCGAAGGAUGGGCUUUGAUUUUUUUUUUUUUUUCGGGGGGGGUUUAAUUUCAGGAUUUCGACGAUUUCUGAUGUUGAAACCCAGCGAGAAGAGAAGUUCCAGAUAGAUCUGAUGGUAGGACCUGUUUAGUAUUCUCAGCAUCAAUUUUCUUUCUGUGCAAUUCUGAAGGUCUUCUCUGUUUUUCUUCUUGAAUUUUGGUUACAGGCUCCACCUCCAGUAAGAUCAUCUCCAGAAAGGGACAGUGAGAUUGUUUCUGUGGCUGUAGAUCCUAAACCUGGAAUCACAGAUUUGGAAACGGUGAAUGGUCCCAACCUUUUCUGUCCAAUUUAUCACCAAUCAGUCCUGUUUGGUAUGUGACGUUAAUGGCGUUGAUAGUUGUUUCAUGUGCAGGAAAUGAAACCGGCCGUUAAGGAAGAAGAUAAGGCAGUGAAAAUGGGAAAAGAUGUGAACGUGGAACCGCAGGAGAAAAAGACAGAAGUGGUAGCCGAAGAAAUUGAAUCCCAUAAACCAAAUGUUAUUCUUAAUAAAGAGAGGAAUUUUGAUCUGCAACUUGAUUUAGAGAAAUCUGAUAAAGAUAGUGGCGUCGUUUCCGGAAGUGGUAGCAAGGCGCACCAACAUGUUCAAAAACAACUGCAGCAGCAGCAACCAAACACCGACAAAGCUGGUAAUUGGUGUUUUGAGUAGAUAUUUUUCCUUGUAGAGAAUAUUCUGUUCCCAUGAAAUAUUCUCAAACUGGAAUGCUGAUCUAGUUUCCUUUCCUUAUCCCCCAGCUCAAUCAAAUUCUCUUCCUCUACCCAUGUCAAUGGCUAGCUGGCCGGGUGGGCUUCCUCAUAUGGGGUAUGGGUUUUUCUGGUUUUGUUCUUUUGACCUUUUCCUCUUUCCAUUCCUACUCCAUCAAUGCUUUAGGUUCUCUUCUCUGGGGAUUGACACUUGUAAAAUCGGCAGAUAUAUGGCACCUUUACAAGGAGUUAUAUCCAUGGAUGGAAGCGCUGUAGCUUCUGCAGCUAUACAGGUAACGCUCCUCGUUUCUUUUUACUUGAGUCUUGGGUUUCUUUCUCUGAAUCUUCUCUCACGUAUAUGGUCUUUCUCAAUUCCUUUUGUUUUUUCUUUUUAUCUCUCAUCUACAAUUUUUGCAGCCUCCGCAUUUGCUUUUUAGUCAACCAAGGCCGAAGAGGUGUGCAACGCAUUACUACAUUGCACGGAAUAUUCAUUAUCACCAACAAUUUACAAGGAUGAAUCCUUUCUGGCCAGCGGCAGCUGGUUCUGCUUUACAAUUUGGGGCAAAGGCCUGCAAUGUCAAUGUGGUUCCAUCUACAGAUUUCCAUUCCAGUAAGGGUAUGAACUCUGCGCAAGACAAGGGUCAUGGUCUGGCCAUCUUUCCUGGUCAUACUGGGAAAGAGAAGAGCUCUCAAACUUCAAACGUUAUAGACACUGCACAGAGAAAGCAGAUUUUGCUUCAGCAACCUCUAGCCCCAGGAGCACCUAGCAAUAUCUUGGUAAGCUUUCCUUUCCCCAGUUGGAGUAUUUUUAACAGAGGGUUUGAAUUUCUUUUAUAACUGUUGCUUUUCCUUCUUGUUGAAUUUCAGCAUGGGCCUGCCUUUAUCUUCCCUUUGAACCAGCAGCAGGCAGCAGCAGCUGCUUCUGUCCGUCCUGGGUCAGUAAAGUCUCCUGUCACAGGUAGCACAGCUUCAUCAAGCGCCUGUAAUUCUGCCUCUAUCAGUGCUGCCACGACAGCUGUUGCUGGUGCCACAACAAUGAGCUUCAACUACCCAAAUAUGUCAGGCAAUGAAACCCAGUACUUGGCAAUUUUGCAGAACAGUCCAUAUCCAAUACCAAUUCCUGCACAUGUAGGUGCGACGACAACUUAUAGAGGAACCGCUCCUCAGCCAAUGCCUUUCUUCAAUGGUUCUUUUUAUUCGUCUCAAAUGAUCCAUCCUCCUCAGCUUCAGCAACAGCAGCCACCUAUGCCGCACUCUCAACAAGGCCAGCAGGUUCAUCAGAACUCGAGCAUUUCUAGUGGUUCCUCAUCAUCCCAGAAGCAUUUGCAGAACCAGCAGCAGAGGCUGCAUGGCAGUGGCAUUAAUAGUGGUAGUGGAAAUUUGCACGGCUUUCCCAACUCAAAAAACCAGCCACCACAGUCAUCCCAGCUUCAGCAGCGGCAUCAGAUGCAGAACCAGAAUGUCCCUCAUCAAGCUCGGCAACUUGACAGUGAAUUCGGUGGUGAAGAUAGCCCUUCUACUGCUGAUAGUCGAGUCUCUCGAACAAACAUGAGUAUUUAUGGUCAGAAUUUCGCAAUGCCCAUACAGCCGCCAAAUUUUGCUUUGAUGACUCCACCAACUAUUGGAGGUGCCAGUGCCAGUGGCAUUCCAGCUGAAAAGAAGCAGCAGCAGUCACAGCCACAGGGUUCAAAGGUUGGGAUAGAACCUUCUCAGGCUUUUGCCAUGUCAUUUGCCUCCAUUAAUGGAGCUGCUACUUCUUCCAGCCUUGAUAUUUCAGCAUCUGCACAAAAUCAUGCUAUCCUGCAAAGUCUCCCAGAGGCUGCAAGGCAUGGAUAUCACUUCAUGGCAGCUGCUGCAGUUGCCCAAGCAGCACAGCAGAAGAAGAAUUACCGUGUUUCUGAAGAAGGGAAAACCGGGGGAGCUGAUGGUUCUAAUGUAGAAGAAGAGAGAAAGGUCAUACCUGGAGGAAAGGCUCAGUUAAAUUCUGGGCAAUCAAUUGCAUUCUCCAGGCCCGAUUUAACAGAUACAUCUGUUUCCACCAUUCCUGUCAGUACUGUGAUUGAUAGCUCAGCGCGAACUCUUAACCUUGGGUCUGCUUCUGCACGGGUCACUGGUUCUGCCAUGCCAAGCUCUAUCAGCACCAUAAAUGCUUCUAAUGUGCAACAACUGCAGCGGAAUCAGCAGCAGCAGCAGCAGCAGCAGCAAAUUAUUCAGCUUCAAAAGCAGCAACAAUUUGCAGUUGCAGCAGCUGCUUCUGCUUGGAGCAAAACACCAGCAACAAGUAAUGGAAGUGUGUACACAGAUCACAUAUCUUCUUCUUCCUCAAUGGCUGGCAAGUUCCCAAAUUCAUUAUCUGGAUUCCCUUCCAUUCUCGUCCAGAGCAGCAGUAGUCCAGCUCAUUCUCCACAGUGGAAGAAUUCUGUUAGGACCACCACUUCCCAGGUUCCUUCCCCAUCUAUUUCCUCCACUUCAUCAUCCUUAAAAAACCUUCCCCAACAGCAGGGCCGUGUCCAGCAAGGCCAUGCACAGAUAUCAUUUGCAUCCAACCCAAAACCAUCAGCUGCGCCUCAAGGGCAAUCAGCUCCAAGUAGUACCCAAUCUCCUUCUCCUCCAGUGGUAGUUGGCUCUCCAACAACUUCCUCAAUUUCUAAGGGUGCUGGUGGGAGCCCAAGGACGACCUCCACUUCCGCAACUAACAAAGGAGCGCAAUCAUCAAUUCUGUCAUCUCAGCAGGGCAAGAACUCGUCAGUGCCUACACAAAAAUCACCUCCAGUUGGUGGGAAAAAUAUUCCUUCAAUUCUCGGCCAUCCCCAUAAUUCCCCCUCUACAUCUAGCUCUGUUACCAAGCCUCAGUUGACACCGCAGCAGCAGCAGCAACUACAUGCAUUGCAGCAGACCCAGAUGCUAUACAAUGGUAGUUAUAUGCAAGCCCAGGUUCAACAUGCUGCGAAUUCAACACAUACAACAUCAGUAGCAAGUGGACUUUAUUUCCAAAGGCACCGCAGUGAUCAACAGCAACAACCACAGGUCUCAUCAGCUGGGAUGUUGUGUUCUCCUGUGUCAGUUCCCAACACCAUCACUACUGAUCCUGCAAAGGCAGUGGCUGCUGCAACAGCCGCAAGCAAUAUGAAAGGUGGUGGCUUACCUUCGCAAGGUCUUAUCCAUGCUCAGUUUUCUGCUGCACAGACUACUGGGAAGCCACAUCUUGUCCCUGCUGGCUUCCCUUAUGUUCAUGCUGUUCAGGUGAAGCCAGCAGAGCAGAAACAACCUGCUGCAGAGUAGAAUCCUGUCUCAUGUACUUGGCAAUCCCCAACACAAGAAGCUAUGAGAGCAAGUGAAGCUGAACAAUUGGUGGAUGGGGCUUGUGCACCCUUGUGGUAAUGAGAAGAACUGAGAGAAGUGAUGAAUGUUCAAGGAAGCAUGCCUUUCAGGUUAGACCCACAUUUUUGAGAAGGAAGUUGAGAAGGUGGGA